AGAUGCAAUUAUAGCUUCGAGCAUUUGCAUAACCAGAAAUCCUAACCUGAACAAGCACCAGAAGUGUCUCUCGAACUUUCUCCUUGCUGAUAAAUGGUCUGCUGUUUGAAGUAAGAGCAGGAGUAAGAGAUGGUGGAGGGGUUGGUGGUGGAAAAGGUUGAAGCACUGGGCCACCAUAUGGGCGUUGCAGACUCAGGGGAGGAUUAAGUGGCGGAGCUGUUGGUGUAGAUGAAGAGACAAGCUGCAUCAUCCGUGCAUAGGAGGAUGGAGGAGGAACAAAGAAUAAGGAAGGCUUUACAAGAUUAGGCGUCCAGUUGCCAGAUUCAGAGGUGUCAACGGGUGAUAUUAAAGGGGUAGGUGCUGAUAGAGGUGGAGAUGGUAUUUGCAAGGUUGGGAGAAGCAACACUGGCGGGAUGAGAAGGUAAAGAAAUAGUUGUAUUGGACUGGUAAGGUUGUGCAGAGAUUGCUGCAUUAGAAGUAUUCCCCACAGUCAAAGCUGUCUGCAAUGAUAAGGACAGAUGUCAUAUACAAGGACUUCAUAGAAGUUGAACCUCACACAAAAAUGAAGUGAUAACAUAUGAAAAUAGUAUAUGACUUGCUGCAUUUUUGUGGUAAUGUUGCAUACUUAUGUAGAAACAUAUUAUUUCAAAGAAAACAUACACUGAAGAAGUUCACAAAAGCAGGAUCUUCAGGAACAUCAGCAGCAUUUGAGGGAAUUGGCUCUAGAGGACCAUCCAUAACUUCCAUAGUUGGAACAGCUUCCAGUUCCUCAAGUUCUAGAUUUCAGUUUUAUCUUCUAUUUGAUGUUUUAUAAUUUCGUUGCAAAUGGAUUAGAAUAGAAAACUCCAAAAGUUCCAAGUAGCUACCAAUGUUUUCCAACAGGGUCUUGAUGGUCUAAUCAGUUUGUUUCGAAGACCCCCAUCUCGUAAGGUAAAAACAGCUUGAUGGGGUGGCACGAUGGUGCACCAGUCCUGUGUAACUUUUUCAGAGAAGAUUUUCACUCGUAACCUAGGUGGAAGUCUCCCAGGAGAAGUUGGCAAAUGACAACUACGAAGGUGUUAUGGUUUAGCUUGUUGUGCCAAAAAUAGAAAAUCUAGGAUGCGAAAAAAUUUUGUUGAGAUUCAUUUUUCAUCCUGAUGUUACAGCUGGCUUUUUUUUUUUUUUUUUUGGCAGAUAAUAAUGCUUAUGUGAUUUCUGAACUUGGUGAUUCUAGCGGAUAGAGGCACUAAGCCAAGAGAAAUGUCUGAAUUAUCGAAACAAGAUGGAAUUAUUUUUUGUUUUUCGCGGCAGACGAUCUAUGAGCGGACUUUCUUACAACACAAGAUGUGUCCACCGGCUUGUAUUUAGUCUCGUAAUGCAUUAUAGCACUGAUGUUUGCCCCGGGUCAAACCCUGAAACCUCACCAAAAACGACGCAUUUUGUGAAUUUUUUUUGUUUUAAUUUUUAACCAAUACGACGUUGUUUUGCUUCAAGCUUCCCCACGAAUGGCUUUUCCUUCCUCUUCAUUUCACCACUCAACGAAUGGCUUUCUCUUCCUCUUCAUUUCACCACUCAACCUCAACGAUAGAACCGACCCGCAAAACCCUUAAACUGUUAUUCUUUCCUUCAAUCCGAUAGGAUUUGGUUUCGAUUAAGCAAAAGCAAAAGCUUGAACAAGGUAAGGUACUGUCUUCCCAGAAAAUGAAUUGUAUAUCAGUACCAAAUCCUCUAAAGACCCUUUCUCACACAAAUCCUCUGGAAUUUCACCAGAAAAUUGAUUGUACGAGAGGUCUGAUGUUUGUAAAGGAGAGUACUUCCCAAGUUCGCUCGGCAGCCCACCUCUGAGUUUGUUGUUAAACAAUUUGAGUUCAUACAAGUUCUUAGACCGAGCUAUACUCUCUGGCAAAGUACCCUCGAGUCUGUUCUCAUACAAGUUGAGUGACUCGAGCUGUAGCUCACACAACUCGUUCGGAAUCAUCCCAGUCAGCUGAUUCAUCGACGCGACUUUGCCGUAAGGUAACGUACUGUCUUCUUUGGCAGCAGAUUAUUUUCAAAGCUUGAAUUUUGCUUGAAUUUUGUUGUUUUAAUUUGUGAAGCCAUUGCCGUUGCUGUUAAAUUGGGUUAAUAUAAUGGGUACUAAGUUUAUGCUGCGAUGUUUUUUGCUUGAAUCCUGAGCUGUUUCAAUUUGAUUCUUGAGUUGUGAGUUGUGGAUUACGAAUGACAAUUUCAGGUGCGGAUUGUGGAUUGCGAAUGGAAAUUUCAGGCUGUGGCUGGAGCUGGAUCGAAGAAGGAAAGGGGAAAUAUUUGGCUGUGGCUGGAGAUGGUGGCUGGAGCUCGAUCGACGAAGGAAAGGGGAAAUAUUUGGCUGUGGUUGGAGCUCGUGGCUGGAGCUCGAUCGACGAAGGAAAUGAAAGAGAAAAUAUUUGGUUGUGGCUGGAUCUCGAUCAACGAAGGAAAGGCAAGGGAAAAUACUUGGGUGGAGCUCCAUCAACAAAGAAUAAGGGAAAUAUUUGGCAAGCAAAAAUGGGAUUGUUUUUGCCUUUAAUGAAACGCCGCGUUUAAAUUUCGGGGUUUGACUCGGGAUUUGACCCGGGGUAAGUAGCAUUUUCCUUCCAUAUAUAUAUGCACGCGCACACAGUUUGAGAAGAAUCAGACCAUUAAUUAGAGAAAAAUGAUGCAAUUUUACCUUCCCAUUCAUGUAUGCCAAGGCUUUUUGGGCUUCCUCUUCUGUACUGAAAGUCACAUACCCGUAACCUUUUGAUCUAUUCUUACCUUUAUCCAUUAUUAUUGUAGCUGCAAAAAGAAAAGAACCGGAUAUUACAAAAUAGUGAAAGGGAAGAGGGGUUGAGACUUAAAACAGAAAUAGACCAAACCCUCAGUGACUUGGCCAAAUUGUGAAAAAGCAUCAGCUAACAUCUCUUUAGUGGUCGAGAAAGAUACGCCUGCAAAGAAUGCCAGUUAAUUUUAUCAUAAUUAGAUGGUAAGAUUGCAAAUUCUGCAGCCAAAGGUGGUACGGAACUGAAUGAAGGAAAUCAAAUAUGAAUAUGUUUUCAAUCUUAAAAUAUUAAGAGUAGCAUAAGUAACUUGUGAAACAGUUAUAAGUUCAAGGGAAUUAGAUGAUGGCAUGGUUGAAUUUUAUAAAUAUUUGAUAUUUUGGACCGAACAGGGCAAACAGAUGGAUCCAGAUAAUCAAGAAAAACAUCAAUUCCAUGCAGCCAAAUUAGUGUGGGCAAUGCAAUUGAGCAACACUAUAAAAUUAUUCAAAGAAAUCUCUAGGUCAGUAUCCAAAUAUAUGGCUCCGUCCGUUCCACCACCACAACCAAAAAAAUCAGAUCCCCCCAUUUGGAUUCGAUUGAUUAAUUUGAGCAUAAAAAAUCGGGUUUUAAACUUCCCUAAGCAAAAUUUAUAUUCCACAGAAUCAGUUCCUUUAACAUGAUGCAUUACAUAAUAUUUUGUUUGCAAAAUAAAGAAGAAAGAUGACAUAAUAGAAACACUCACAGAGAGAGAAUACCUUUGACGAAAAGCUUAGAAGUGAAUCCUCUGUAAAAUACGAGUUGAGCUGCUGAAUUUUUCGAGUUUGAAUGAGAGACUGCGGCAAUUCUGAAAAUGUUUUUUUCUCAUUAGCGCCGCCAUUUUUGUAAUAGAGGGUAAAGAAAUAAGUAACAAAGUAAGAGGUGAGCAGAAGCGGCCCAAUUUAGUUAUAUGCCAUGCAUGCGAUCAAAAUUGAAUGGUUAAAUGGCAGCCACUAUGUUACAUCUUGUGUAAGUAACAAACCGCCUACAUGGAUCGUUGGAUUUGGGAAUAUGAAAUCCAAUGGAUAAUAUUGAAUUUAACGAAAAAUAGAUUACAGGUUGCAUUAGUCCAAGUUUAUUUCAAACAAACCAGCUGAUGAAAUAGCCGCUAAUCGAAUUUAAAAGGGAAAAAAAAUCAAAUUAUAGGUUAUAGAUCUUAUUUCCAUCUUAAAUCUAUGUCUUUCAUGGUGACUCAAUGUGUAUACUAAUUUAUAAUUUGGAUCUAUAUUAGAGGCUUAGAGCCAAUGCUUCCCUAAAUAACUAAGAAAAUUUUCUUUUCAUUGAUUAAAUAUUUAUUUCCAAUAUCUUGUAUAUGUAGGAUUUGAAAAGAGGGAAAAUAGUAGGGAUGAUGAUGAGAGAAGAUAAAGAUGUCGAUUCUCAAAUCUAAUAUUAAUGCUAUACUUAUAUUCCUAUAGUAAAUAAAUUAUCCAAGGUUCGUGGUUAAUGAUACGUUGCGAAAUUUUAACUGUCUAAUAUGGCUUUUCAUAAAGCUUAGAGAAAAGUAGGGCUUUUACAAAAAAAAAAAUUUAAUUAGAAUUGUCAAUGAUAAAUUUUAAAAAGUACUUUAAUAAAUAAGCUUUUAAAAUUAUAUAUAUUAUGAAAGAAAUGAAAUAAGAUUAUAUAAUAAAUUAAGAGUAUCUUAGAUAAUUGAACUUUAAAAAUAAAACUUGCUAAGAGGUUUAAAAUUUGAGUUUUUAAUAGUGGAUACAAAAUAGUUUAUUUAAUUCUCAAAAGUACUAUUCAAAAUACAACCAUGUAACACAAAAAUUUUUAAUAAGUUUUUUGGACUAGUUAAGUACUUUUUUUGAAAAAAAAUAUAUUUUUUUCAUUGAGUAAAUAAUACUAAACAUGCACUAAAGUGUUAGGACCAGAAGUUGUACAAAUAAAACCAUGAAAUUAUAUGUUGUUGGAUGGAUAUUUUUCAAAUUUGCUGUAGUUUUUUUUUUCUUUUCUUCUGGGAAAUUGAAAUGAUGGCUACAACUUAAAUUAUGAAUGGAGUGAUCGGAGAAUAUUGAAACCCAUUUAAUUUGGAUCGUGCAUUGAGGGACGAAAGGAUAAAAAAUUUAAUUUUGAAAUUGUUGUUGAGUACGGUACAAUGACUUACCGUUGACAGCUUUUGCAACCGGAUUACAAUCGGUUAGUUCAAUAAUUUUAUAUCCCUAUUUAACCGCCACGUGCUGCUGUUACAUGGGUCAAUUAGUCAUGUCAUUACUAUUACUUACAGCUGCUGUAACAUAACCGGACCCAAAUGGUUAAAUUCUGUUGUUUCCAAUAAUUUUAUGCUGUAUCUUCUUUAAUAAUAAAGAAAACUUGCAUUCAAAUUAAAAUUAGGGUAAUGCCUGAUUUUAUAAAUAGAUUGCAAUGUAAUUUUGAAAAAUAAAACAAUAAUUUACGAAAUGCUUAUAACAUAAUUUUAAUUUUUUUCAAAAAGGAAAAACAACAAAAGUAAAAAAUGGAGAAUGAGGGCUACAAACUUUGUAUCUUAAACGGCCAUUAGAUUAUUUGUAAAUGAAAGCAACGGUCAGGAUUAUGGAAACAUGUAAGUAUAAGGACUACGAGUUUUUUUUUGUUACAUUAAUAUAUUACAAUUAAAAUUCUAUUGGUAUUUACAAUCAGAAUUUUAUCUGAAUAUCUUUGAUAAUUCUAAACUAGUACAGCCCAAAUUCUUAUUCUCAUAUAAUAUCAAAGAGAGAUAUAUAUUCUUCCCCUCUAUUAAUAAAGAGACAUUUUUACUUCCUUUUAAUAGUUAGGACUCAGAACUCAUACACGCUAGUUUGAGAGUGUGGGGUGUGACAAUGAGCCAAGAGACCUUGACAAGUACAAAAAAGUGGUAGAAAUUAAUUCAAACCGCUACACACGCUAUUGCAACCAAAUUGAGGGCCCAUUUUUGUUUAUUUGGUUGAAAAAUAGUUUGCAUAAUUAAUUCAAACCGCCACACACGCUAUUGCAACCAAAUUGAGGGCCAGUUUUUGUUUAUUUCGUUGAAAAGUAGUUUGCACAAUUAAUUCAAACCGCUACACACGCUAUUGCAUCUUUUGAAAAAGAAAAACGGAAUAGUUUUCCAAAAUUAAUUCCGAGAAGAAGAUUAACUAAUAAUGAUGUUAGAAAUUUUAAUAUUUGAGUCUUAAUAUUAUGUAUCACUCAUUUAUUAAAUAAUAGAUUUCAUAAUUUGUAAAAUUACUUAACCACUUGAUAAAUGUUAUAUUUGUUGGGACUAAAUUGGGACUUAAAUGUUGGAAUAUCUAGUAUUGCAUUAAAAAAUUAAUAAAAACUUAACAAUUUAUCUUCACUUGACUAAUUGUUUUUACAUCACAACUAACCUUAAUUAUUUUGAAGUUACAGUAUUAUUAAAUUGUCCUAACUGGUUAUCAAAAGUUGAAAGCAUGUUAAAAUAAAAAAAAUUACCAAGAAACAUGUGCUUAAACAGAGGUUGAGGCUAUGAACAAUUAAGAAGAAACUCUUAAUUUGGUCCCAAUUAGUAUAGUAAUCAUCUAUUGAGCGGUAAAAUAUUAAUUUUAAUAGUGAUGAAAUCCAAUAUAUAAUAGAUUACUAACACACAUAAAUUAAAACUAAACUGUCAGAAAUCAUAACAUUACUCUACUCUUCAGUGGAGUUCUCUUAAACAGAUUAUGUGAGAUUGCCUACAUAAAAAAUAUGUUAAGACUGCUUGUUGAAAGCAAUAUUCGCUUUUCCAUUAUAUCCAUAACUUUGAAUUGAUAAAGUUGUAUUCAACAGCUCUUGAAAAGACUAAUUUAUUUAAACUAGUCACAGAAAUAAGAGAGAAAGGGGGCUAUUUCUUGACUCAAAGUCAAUUAUAAUUAUCAAAACUUGAGCGGACAUCGCAUGCCUAACUUCCACGCACCCUAAAACGGUUUGAUUUGCUUUCACGCGUUCAUGAAUUUCCAUGAAAGAGCCUGCCUUUCGUCUCUUUCGGGACAGUGACUACAAUUAUGGAAAAAAUUAUAAUUCUCGUUAGAUUGUAACCAAAUUAUUAUCCCUAAUUUUUUUAAGUUAAAUAAAAUAAAAUUUAUGCUUAAGUAUAAACAAUAAUUUGGACAUUCUUGUUAUUUGUCCUUCUAAGAUAGACAGCAACCUAAUUAUUUAUUUGUUUGCCUGUUUUUGUUUUUUUAAAUAACAGUUUAUUAGCAUAAAUAUUUACCUGUGAAGUCGAGGAGGAGAAAAUGUUAGAAAAAAUAAAAAGAAAAAAAAUUAAGGGAGAUAGAAUCAGAUUUUCUUUUUUGAGCAAAGAACAUACGUAAAAAGAUAUUAAAUCUAUUAAGUCUAAUUGUCUAUAACCGUAAAUUGCAUAACGAAUAAAUUAUCAGCGUAAAAUAAAUUUUAUUAGAUUCUGGUUAUUUUCUAGAGUACGAAUUGUCUCAUCGUAGAACAAACACCGGAAAAUAUAACCUUUGCGGAGGUCUUUUGCUGUGUCGUUAUAAAAAGGUUAUUAGUAAUUUAAUGCACCAAUAUUGUAUAUUCCACCUUAUCAAUGUCUCUGGUUGCGAAAGAUUGUUAAAAGCAACGUGUUCUUUCUUUGUCUUAUGUAAUUUUUUCGUUGUCCAUGAGUUUUAAUUGAAAUACUUGGCUUCCAGUUAUUUUGUAAACCUGUCGAAAACUACCACAGUGGAUAAAGAUUAACCAGCUCAUUCUUUACAAUUGACUAUCGAUUUUUUAUUUUUUUAUUUUUAUUUAAAAUUGCUGGUUUGUUGCUUAAAAUUUUCAAUAAUAAUUUCACUUAUUUAGUAAUUAGAGAGAGAUAGAGAGGAUUGGCGGCCAAUGUUUCGCGAUUUGGGGUCAAUUCAAAGUCAACUAACGUGUAAAACACGUGUAUGCAUAGAAAACGCUUAGAUUAUUUGUGUUCCAAGUGCAAGAAAUUAAGAAAAGAAAAAUUGAUUUCCUUUCAUGAACUUCCAAGAAAGAAAGAAGACCCUUUACCUUCUUCGUGACAACAAAUGAAUGAAUGAUGUUGAUAUGACAAAUACAAGCGCUAUUGCAGGGAACAGCAUAAGACCGAGACUUGAUAAAGGGUUUGUUAAAUUACAUGUUAUUUUCUUUUGACUUGAAUGAUGUUGAAAUAAAAUAAAAUUGUAAUCAGGAUGAUGUGUAGAAUAGUGAAAUAAAUAAAAAGAGAAGAGAAAUUCUUUGACCAAUAUUCAAGAACUCAUCCAAGGUGAUCGUCCAAGUCUAGAGGUUCGGUGUGAUUAGCAUUUAUUUUUAAUUUUUUGGCUAACAUCAUAUAUAGUCACUUGUCGUGUGAUGUAGGGCAAGUUUAGAAAUCCUUUUAUUUUAACUUCCGUAUUCUUAUUAUUUAAUUAGUUAUAGGGUUUUUAAGUAUUUGAGUAUUGAUCACAUGUCUGCUAAUCUAAAAAUAUUUUUUUACGAUCGAGUACAAAUAACAAACUAGAAUUUUAACAGCCUUUUAUACUAAACCCUAAAAAUACAUGAAUUUAUCAAAAUAAGUAAAUUAAUUUAAAUUGGUAUGGCAUAAUAGAAGUUUUACCUGCCGAAACAAAUUAAAAAAAUAUUACACUUAAAUCAAAUAUUGACAAAAAUAGAUAACAAUCUAAUGAGAAUCUUAACUAGACAUUUUUACUUCUAUCCAAUUUAACUGGAACGAGAAUUAAGUCCUUUCAAUAGUUAAGACUCAUAACUCAUACAUGCUAGUUUGAGAGUGUGGGGUGUGACAAUGGGUCAAAAGACCAUUGACAAGUACAAAAGAGUGAUUGCAAUUAAUUCAAACCGCUACACACGCUAUAUUGAGGGCCCAUUUUUGUUUAUUUCGUUGAAAAGUAGUUUUCACAAUUAAUUCAAACCGCUACACACGCUAUUGCGUCUUUUAAAAAAGAAAAAUGGAGUAGUUUUCCAAAAUUAAUUCAGAGAAGAAGAUUUACUAAUAAUGAUGUUAGAAAUCUUAAUAUUUGAAUCUUAAUAUUAUGUAUCACUCAUUUAUUAAAUAAUAGAUUUCAUAGUUUGUAAAUUUACUUAACCACUUGAUAAAUGUUAUAUUUGUUGGGACUAAAUUGGGACUUCAAUGUUGGAAUAUCUAGUAUUGCAUAAAAAAUAAAAAAAACUUAAAAAUUUAUCUUCGCAUGACUAAUUGUUUUUACAUCACAACUAACCUUAGUUAUUUUUUAAAGUUAUAGUAUUAUUAAAUUGCCCUAACUGGUUAUCAAAAGAUGAAAGCAUGUUAAAAUAAGAAAUUACUAAGAAACAUGUGCUUAAACAGAGGUUAAGGCUACGAACAAUUAAGAAGAAACAACUUACAAUCAAAGGUUAAGAUUAUGAACAAAUUAAGGAAGGUAGAUAAAGGGACGGAAUCAUUGUCUGAAUUGCCGGUGACAAGAAUGCUUGUGUUGUGAAAAGAAACCUGAUGGUUUGUAAAUGGGUUGAAUUUUUUAUUCGCUCGCUCCAACUAACUUACUAAUGCCAAAUUUAUUACUUUGCACAAUAGUGUUUAGGAUCCUCAAGAUCAACUCUUAAUUUGGUCCCAAUUAGUGUAGAAAUCAUCUAUUGAGCAAUAGAAUAAGAAUUUUUCUAGUCAUGAAAUUUAAUAUAUAAUAUAUCCUUGACACACAUCGAUUAGAACUUAACUGUUAGAAUUCAUAACAUUACUCUACUCUCAAGGGGAGUUCUCUUAACAUAUUAUGUUAAGUUGCCUACAUUCAAAAUAUGUUAGACUGCUCUUUGAAAGCAAUAUUCCCUUUUCCAUAACUUUGAAUUGGUCCAAUAGCUCUUGAAAAGCACAUAAUAAUCAUUAUAAAUUUAAUCAAAGACUAAGCAGGUCUUCUUUGAAUUUGAUCACUGGCAUUUCAGUUAAGUUUGUCGUUUACUUAAAUUUUUCUUGCUUUCAAUUUCCACUGUUGUUUUUUUUCUAAAAUAAUUUAUUUAAACUAGUCAUAGAAAUAAGAGAGAAAGGGCGCCAUUUCUUGACUCAAAGUCAAUUAUAAUUAUCAAAACUUGAGCGGACAUUGCAUGCCUAAAUUCCACGCACCCUAAAACGGUUUGAUUUGCUUUCACGCGUUCAUGAUUUUCCAUGAAAGAGAGUGCCUCUCGUCUCUUUCCGGACAGUGACUGCAAUUAUGUUAACGUGACGAAUACAAAACGUUAUUACAUACAAGAAUAAGUUUUUGGACCCGAGACUUGAGGGAGGUUCUAUCUAAUUCUAAAGAUUGUAACCAAAUCAUUAUCCCCAAAUUUUUUCAGUUAAAUAAAAUAAAAUUUAUGCUUAAGUAUAAAUAAUUUUUUAAAGUUAAAUAUAAAAUAAAAAAAUUCAUGAACUUCCUAGAAAGAAAGAAGACCCUUCACCUUCUUCGUGACAACAAAUGAUGUUGAUAUGACAAAUACAUGCGCUAUUACAGGUAACAGCAUAAGACCAAGACUUGAUAAAUAUUAAAUAUAUAAAAUAAGUGGAGCAAACGAAUAGAAUAAUAGAUUUUUAUAAUAUUCUUCAUAAAAAUCCAAGUUUUGAGCUGGCCCAUAAGCUUAUCUAGUGAAGUCUGGGUAUCCGCGUUGCCCAAGGUUCCGUUUGAAUCCAGGCUGUGCAGAUGUUUAUGACAUCCCAUAUGGACGGAGAGGAAAUAUUUUCAGUUGACUUAAUUAAAUAAAAAAAAAGAAAUGAAGAAAAACGAAUACAAGACUUGAAAAAGCUGGGAGUAUCAUCAGUUCAAUUGGUUAUAAAUAGCAUAGAGCCAUCCUCUCGUUGUUGCAGAACUGAAGCAAAGAGAGACAGAAAGAGUGUGUGUAGGUGAUUAUAAUUAAGAAGAUAUAAUGUGUGGUUCAAAAAGAGUGUGGUUGAGUGAGUUAAUUUUCAUAUUAUUUGUAGUAAAAGGGUGGUGGAGUGAGGGAUGUUUGCAGCAAGAGAAGUCUGCUCUCCUCCAACUUAGACAUUUCUUCAAUGAUGAUCACCGUCUUCGAAAAGGGGCAGACGCAGGAGAUGAUGAGAAUUAUUCAGAUUGUUGUCAGUGGGAAGGGGUUGAGUGCAACAACACCACUGGCAGAGUGAUUAAAUUAGAUCUAGCAUUUCGAAAAUGGGAAUCAGCAGAGUGGUAUAUGAAUGCCUCUCUGUUUACUCCUUUUCAACAAUUAGAGUCUCUUGAUCUAAUUGGGAACAAUAUAGUCGGUUGUGUUGAAAAUGAAGGUCCUUAAUUUACUUUAUUUUAAUUCUUCCUGUAAAUUUCUUACAUUUAUCUGAUCCCUUUUGGCUUUUGUUUAAUUUGUACGUGAUACAAUAAAAUUAUUUUUUAUUUUUUGGCAGGUCUAGAUAGGUUAUCAAGGUUGAACAACUUGAAGUUUCUUUUUUUAGAUGAUAACGACUUCAACAACAGCAUCUUUUCAUCUCUAGGUGGUCUUUCAUCACUCAGAGACUUAUCAUUGGCUGGUAAUGGAUUGAAUGGAAGUAUUGAUAUUAAAGGUAAGCAAGCUUCAUCCCUUCUCCCGUGUCCCAUUUUUCAGAUUAGCCAUAUUCUUUUCACUGAGAUUUAACAUAAAAAAAAAAGGAGAAAAUAAGUUAUUUAAUUAACUCUAUUUUAAGUGUUGGCAUAAAUACAGGACUCGAUUCCUUGAGUAACUUGGAGAUACUGGACAUGAGCAACAAUGCAAUCGACAAUCUAGUGGUUCCUAAAGGUAUACAAAAUGUUCAAAUAUUAAUAAUUUGGAGGACAAUUUAAUUGAUUUGAUAAGGGAAUGUCCAAUGACACUUACCCAAAAUAAUUUAAUCCGAAAUUGUAUCUCAAAUAGAUUACAGAGGUUUUGAGGAAGUUGAAUACCCUUGAUUUGGGGGGGGGGGGGGGGAGGGAAAUUGCAGUGAUAUAUGGAAGCAAGGUGUUGCAAUCAAUAAAGAAAUUCAUUGGUCAAUGUUCAAGGACUCAUCCAAAGUAAUCGUUAAAGUCUAGAGGUCUGCUCUCCACCAACUCAAACAUUUCUUCAAUGAUGAUCAACGUCUUCAAAACUAGGUAGACGCGGGAGAUGAUGAGAAUAAUUUAGAUGUUGUCAGUGGGAAGGGGUUGAGUGCAACAACACCACUGGCAGAGUGAUUAAAUUAGAUCUAGCAUUUCGAAAAUGGGAAUCAACAGAGUGGUAUAUGAAUGCCUCUCUGUUUACUCCCUUUCAACAAUUAGAGUCUCUUGAUCUAAGUUGGAACAACAUAGCCGGUUGUGUUCAAAAUGAAGGUCCUUAAUUUACUCUAUUUUAGUUCUUCCUCGUAAUUUCUUACAUUUAUCUGAUCCCUUUUGGCUUUUGUUUAAUUUGUACGUAAUACAAUAAAAAUUUUUUUUAGUUUUUAUUUUUUAUUUUUUAUUUUUUGGCAGGUCUAGAGAGGCUAUCAAGGUUGAACAACUUGAAGUUUCUUUAUUUAGACAAUAACCACUUCAACAACAGCAUCUUUUCAUCUCUAGGUGGUCUUUCAUCACUCAUACACUUAUCAUUGGUUGGUAAUCGAUUGAAUGGAAGUAUUGAUAUUAAAGGUAAGCAAGCUUCAUCCCUUCUCCCGUGUCCCAUCUUUGUGGAUUUUAUUUCAUCGACCAGCUGGAAGAAUUGAUACGAGAUCUAGCUAGACUCUUGCUAGUUUAAGCUUCAAGGCUUUGAAUAUUAUAAAAAUAGGUUUAAGGAAUUAUCAUUAUAUGCAAUUUUCUAUGCUUCUCAUAAUCAGACACAAUUCAAUCUAAUUAUUUCGUAUGUCCUGUCUUCAAAAGUAAAGAAUUGUACACUAAACGGAAAUCGACAUUGUAGCUUUUUAAUUUUUCUAAUGCUCUUUCUUUGUUAACGAGUUUAUAUCCUGAGAGUGGAUUGGAUUCAAAAAAAAAAAAGUUUUGAUGUUCAAGGUAAGCCAUAAUAACAUGCAUCUUAUUUAUCUGCCUAUAUCUAAAUUUGUGCACUGAAUUUAGUAUUUUGGUUAGUGUGAAGGGAUCAGAUAUUGACUUCCAUAAACCAACUUGUAUUUACUUAAUUAAUUAAGUAAAUUUUUUGAAACAAGAAUAAGGUAUAGCAGGUUGGAUAUGUAUUUAUUUAGUUUAAAUAACUUUUCCAUCCAUCCAAAACCUUUAAGCAUGUAGUUGAAGAGGGGUGGCAAUUCAAGUUGGAUAUGUAUUUAUUUAGUUUAAUUGGAUCUGAUAUUAUAUAUUCUAAACCUUUUGAAUAUGGAUAUGGAUGUUUUUAAAAUAGUCAAUUGGAUACUGGAUGAAUAUGGAUAUUAGAUAUUUAAUUCAUUUAUGUUAAAAAAUAAAGUAAGAAGUUAUAUAUAUUUACCAUGAUAUCCAUUUAUUGAAUGCCUUUUUUUUUUAUAUUUUCAAAUUAGCAAACCAUAGUUUAUCUCUUUUAGUUUCACACACUAGCCGUUCGUUCCUCGUUGGCCACUGAUAUCGUCGACCGUCGCUUGUUUGAUAUAUAUUAGUUAUUCAUGAUUUUGCUCUCUUCUUUUGUGAUACAGUUGCUUCUUCUUCUUUUAAUUUAGGAUAUCUGUGUCUCUAUAUUUCUCUAUAUGUAUCAAUUACACGCCGUUGUCAGCCAAAUAUACCUACUUAAAACCACUCAAUCAGGCCCUUGACAACUGUUUUUUACGUUUUCCUGGUUAGCCGUAUACUUUUUUGCUUAUUAAUAAAAUUAUUUUGCACCGAGAUUUAAAAUAAAAAAACGGAGAAAAUAAGUUAUUUAAUUAACCCUGCUUUAAGUGUUGGCAUAAAUGCAGGACUGAAUUCCUUGAGUAACUUGGAGGAGCUGGACAUGAGCGCCAAUGCAAUCGACAAUCUAGUGGUCCUAAAGGUAUACAAAAUGUUCAAAUAUUAAUAAUUUGGAGGAUAGUUUAAUUGAUUUGAUUAGGGAAUGCCCAAUGACACUUACCCAAAAUAAUUUAAUCCGAAAUUGUAUCCCAAACAGAUUUCAGAGGUUUGAGGAAGUUGAAUACCCUUCUUUUACGGGGAAGCAGAAUUCGAAUGAUAGAUGGAAGCAAGGUGUUGCAAUCAAUAGGAUCACUACCAUCCCUCAAAACGCUUUACCUUUUCUUUAUUAAUUUUAAGGGAACAGUAGUUAAUCAGGGUGAGUAAAUUUUUUUAUGUCGAAAAUAAUUGAAUUAAUAUAUAUAGCUAAAAUUUAUUGUUUCUACUUCUUUCUAAAUAGAAUUGCACAAUUUCACCAACUUGGAAGAAUUGAUAUUGGUCGAGUGUGAUCUCCAUGUAAGCCAGCUUCUGCGAAGCAUCGCAUCAUUCACUUCGUUAAAGUAUUUGUCAAUGCAAGAUAGUGUACUCAAGGGUGCCCUGCAUGGUCAAGGUAAAUUACGGGUAUCUGAAGCUUUUAUGAUAUUAAUUCGAUAAUAAUUCUUUCUUUUCAAGUUAAUUUUCUCCCGUAAAAUAAUAUUUUUUUCUUUUAAAUUUUAUACAUUUUCACUGUCCAAUAGUUCUACCUUCUCUAAAUUGUAGGAUUCUUGAUUAAGGUUAAUGAAAUUUUAGUUCUGUUAUGUUAAGAAUAUUUCGAUCGCUUAGAAGAGUAAAGAAAAAUAAGUAAAUUAACCCAAAAAAAGAAAAGAACAGGACCGGAUUAUCCUUAUUCCCUUGCAUUAUGUGAUCAAUAUCAAAAUUAUAACCAUUUCUUGUUUAUUGCUUGUAGAUUUUCGUAAAUUCAACAAUUUGGAACAUCUGUACAUGGGUGAGGUGCAGGUUGACGUCAACACCAGUUUUCUUCAAAUUGUCGGCGAAUCGAUGCCUUCCCUUAAGUUUUUAUCACUGAAUGAUUCAAGUCUUAAUAAAAACACCAUUCUUGAUCAAGGUUAAUUAAUGAUUCUCUUUCUCCCUCUCGCGCAUCUUAACUAAAUUUAAUUGAGAAUAUCUAUAAUGCUAGCUAUUUAUAAACUUAAUGAAAGUUGAUGAGGAGCCAUUAUAAUGACUAAAACAACUGUAAAAUAGUGCGCUGUUGUAGUGUUGAUUGAACUAUUGGACUGUAAAACAACUGUAACAACACUAUAACGCUGCAUAAUUUUACAGUUAUUUUGUUGCCAUUACGUCAGAUUCCACUGUUAAACUAUCAGUACUCAAACUUAAUUUUUAAUAUGUACUUUAAAGAUUUUAUGCAAUUAUUUAAGUUUUAUGCAAUUAUAUUUUUCAGGACUUUGUCGGUUAGUGCAUCUGCAAGAGUUAUACAUCGGCCAUAACGAUUUGAGAGGUAGCUUGCCAUGGUGCUUGGCAAACAUGACAUCCCUUCAAGUGUUAGAUGCCUCAUCUAAUAAACUUACUGGAGACAUCUCCCCAGGCCUUUGUGAGUUGGUGCUUCUGAGAGAGUUAUACAUACAUAACAAUGAUUUAAGAGGUAGCUUGCCAUGGUGCUUGGCAAACAUGACAUCCCUUCAAGUGUUAAAUGCCUCUUCUAAUCAACUUACUAGAAACAUCUCCCUAGGCCUUUGUGAGUUGGUGCUUCUGAGAGAGUUAUCCAUUGAUAACAAUGAUUUAAGAGGUAUCUUGCCUCUGUGCUUGGCAAAUUUGACUUCCCUUCGAGUAUUAGAUGUCUCUUACAAUCAACUUACUGAAAACAUCUCCCCAGGCCUUUGUGAGUUGGUGCUUCUGAGAGAGUUAUCCAUUCAUAACAAUGAUUUAAGAGGUAGCUUGCCUUUGUGCUUGGCAAAUUUGACUUCCCUUCAAGUAUUAGAUGUCUCUUACAAUCAACUUACUGAAAAUAUCUCAUCUUCCCUCAUGCAUCUAAUAUCUAUGGAAAAGCUCAUACUUUCAAAUAAUCACUUCUUCCAAAUUCCUAUUUCACUCGAACCACUUUUCAAUCUCUCAAAACUCAAGACUUUUGAUGGUGAAAUAUGCGCAGAAACUGAGUCACAUUAUAAUUCUUUGACCCCAAAAUUCCAACUGACUUCUAUCUCACUGUCUGGUUACAUAGAUGGUGGCACAUUUCCCAAAUUCUUGUACCAUCAGCAUGACUUGAAGAAUGCUAAUCUCUCACACCUUAACUUGAGUGGAGAAUUUCCAAAUUGGUUGGUAGAAAACAAUACAAACUUAGAGACGCUUCUUCUUGCCAAUAACUCUCUUUUUGGAUCAUUUCGGAUGCCAAUUCAUUCCCACCAGAAAUUAGCAACAUUGCAUGUCUCCAACAAUUUCUUUCAAGGCCAUAUCCCAGUAGAAAUCGGAACAUAUCUGCCAGGCUUAAUGGAAUUAAACUUAUCUACAAAUGCUUUCAACGGUAGCAUUCCCUCUUCAUUUGCUGAUAUGAAAAUGUUGCAAAGCUUGGACAUAUCCCACAAUCAGUUGACGGGUGAAAUCCCUGAGCUCAUGGCCACGGGUUGCUUCUCAUUAGAAAUUCUUGCAUUGUCAAACAAUAGUUUGCAAGGCCAUAUAUUCUCUAAAAAAUUUAGCUUGACAAAUUUGAUGACGUUGCAGUUGGAUGGUAAUAAUUUCAGUGGAGAGAUCCCAGAAAGCUUAUCUAAGUGCCGUUGGUUAGGAGGAUUAUAUCUGAGUGAUAAUCAUCUCUCUGGUAAGAUUCCAAGAUGGUUGGGUAAUUUGUCAGCUUUAGAAGAUAUUAUAAUGCCUAAUAACAAUCUUGAAGGACCAAUUCCAAUCGAGUUUUGUCAGCUUGAUUCUCUGAAGAUUUUAGACCUUUCAAACAAUAGUAUUUUCGGAACCUUACCAUCUUGUUUUAGUCCAGCAUAUAUCGAACAAGUUCAUUUGUCAAAAAACAAGAUAGAAGGACGGUUGGAAAGUAUAAUCCAUUACAGCCCUUUUUUGGUGACAUUAGAUCUUAGUUAUAACCGCUUACACGGAAGUAUUCCAAAUCGGAUUAACAGACUACGUCAGUUAAACUACCUUCUUUUAGGUCAUAAUUAUAUUAAAGGCGAAAUACCAGUUCAAUUAUGCCAGUUGAAGGAAGUUCGGUUGAUUGAUCUUUCUCAUAAUAAUCUAUCUGGGCAUGUUCCUCCUUGCUUUGUUAACACUUCACUCAGUGAAGGUCAUCAUGAGGCAGUAGUCCCUGAACAUUUAGAUCUGCAAUCAAAUGAAUCUUCGAUGGGAAAGGAAGAAACUGUACAGUUCACAACAAAGAAAAUUUCCUACUAUUAUCAAGGAAGCAUUUUGAGGAGUAUGUGUGGGAUUGAUCUUUCUUGUAACAAACUGACAGGUGAGAUUCCUACUCAAAUUGGAUAUCUUACAAGGAUUCGUGCGCUAAAUCUAUCUCAUAACAAUUUGACGGGCACAAUCCCGACAACAUUUUCAAACCUGAAGCAAAUCGAAAGCUUGGACCUCUCCUACAACCUACUGCAUGGGAAAAUCCCUUCUCAGCUCACUGUGCUAACUACAUUGGCGGUCUUCAGAGUAGCAUACAAUAACUUAUCAGGAAAAACCCCAGAUAGAGUUGCACAAUUUUCAACAUUUGAGGAAGAUAGUUAUGAGGGGAAUCCUUUUCUUUGUGGAUGGCCACUGUCUAAAAGUUGCAAUGAUAGUGGAUUAUCAGCAGUGACACCAGAAGCUUACACUGAUAAUGAAGAAGGUGAUAGUUUAAUUGACAUGGACAGUUUCUUGAUCACUUUUACAGCAUCUUAUGGAAUUGUGAUAUUAGGAAUUAUUGGAGUUUUGUACAUAAACCCCUAUUGGCGACAAAGAUGGUUUUACCUUGUUGAAGUAUGUAUGAUCUCUUGCUACUAUUUUGUAGUAGAUAAUCUUAUUCCUAGAAGAUUCUGUCGUGGAUGGAUGUAAUUUCAUUUACUUUACAACUUAUAUGUAAUUUUUAAAGAAUUUUCUUUUGCUUGCAUGGAAUAGCAACUCAAUAAAAGUAUUUGAUGCAAAUUGUCCAAGAACAACUUAGUAAUUUCAUUGCUACUAUUCGGUUAUAUAUGUACAGUUAAUGAAAUUUUUAACCAUUCGCAGUAGGAAUUUCUUUAGAUGGCGGCCAAAACUAACAGAUUUGGGGCUCUACUUCUACACAUCAUAACAGGCAAAAGGUCUCUCUUUUACACGAUCUGAAUGAAGAUUAGCUUACGCCCUCUGGAGUGUGUGCAAGUUCUCUAUUAAACUUGACGGUUGAGAUUUCAGGUCCAGAUGAAAGUAAAAUGCAGGCGACGAGACUUCACUUUAAGUAAACUGGUACAAACUUAAAUUAAAAAAAAUUAUAGUCCAGUGUGAGAGUAAUGGGUAGCUCAACCUAUGGAGGAUAACUAGGACUUGGAAUAACUAUCAGAUUUGCAACUCUUGUUAUACGCUAGUGGGGAUUAUCACUUUCAGCAGCUACAUAAUGGUAUCACUUUCAGCUCGUCAUGAAUGGUGUGCAUUCAGCAGUGCUCGAUAGACCAUGUCUAUGAAUUGAUUGUCCUAUUACAUAUAAAAGCUGGUCAGAUAUACAAGGAAAAAAAUAAUAAUUGAAAAUGCAUCACAAAAAAUAAGUGUCUCGCAUUAGUGUUUGCACUCUAAGCAUGGCAAAGUGGUGUGGGGUUCAUGAUUUUGAAGACUGAUAAGUGAAAAAUAGUUCAAUCCACUGAUGACCAUAAAUUUAUUUACAUGUCAAUUUAGAUAUCAUCAAAAAGUAAACAGUAAUUCACAGUCACGUAAAAUAGUUGAUAAAAUGCGUGCCAUGAAUGCAUUUUUGUACAUAAGAAAUCCAAAGAGUAUUUCUGACAAUACAAAUAUGCUAGCUUUAAGUCUGCUGUCAAUAUGCAAUUAAGAAGAUUAUACCAGCUGCAUGAUAAAGUUCCCCUAAUCUUAAUAACAGUAAACAUGAACAUGUCAGAUGCAAUUAUAGCUUCGAGCAUUUGCAUAACCAGAAAUCCUAACCUGAACAAGCACCAGAAGUGUCUCUCGAACUUUCUCCUUGCUGAUAAAUGGUCUGCUGUUUGAAGAGCAGGAGUAAGAGAUGGUGGAGGGGUUGGUGGUGGAAAAGGUUGAAGCACUGGAGCACCAUAUGGGCGUUGCAGACUCAGGGGAGGAUUAAGUGGCGGAGCUGUUGGUGUAGAUGAAGAGACAAGCUGCAUCAUCCGUGCAUAGGACGAUGGAGGAGGAACAAAGAAUAAGGAAGGCUUUACAAGAUUAGGCGUCCAGUUGCCAGAUUCAGAGGUGUCAACGGGUGGUAUUAAAGGGGUAGGUGCUGAUAGAGGUGGAGAUGGUAUUUGCAAGGUCGGCACGAUAGGCGAAGCAACACUGGCGGGAUGAGAAGGUAAAGAAAUAGUUGUAUUGGACUGGUAAGGUUGUGCAGAGAUUGCUGCAUUAGAAGUAUUCCCCACAGUCAAAGCUGUCUGCAAUGAUAAGGACAGAUGUCAUAUACAAGGACUUCAUAGAAGUUGAACCUCACACAAAAAUGAAGUGAUAACAUAUGAAAAUAGUAUAUGACUUGCUGCAUUUUUGUGGUAAUGUUGCAUACUCAUGUAGAAACAUAUUAUUUCAAAGAAAACAUACACUGAAGAAGUUCACAAAAGCAGGAUCUUCAGGAACAUCAGCAGCAUUUGAGGGAGUUGACUCUAGAGGACCAUCCAUAACUGCCAUAGUUGGAACAGCUUCCAGUUCCUCAAACUCACUGCAGUUUAACAUAAAAGGAACUUGAUGACCAAUUUAAGUAAUAAUUAGAUGAUAUAAGAGGUUAGGGAAAAUGAUGAGUGGACCCUUAUGGAAGGUGAUUUCACCUUAGCUAAACACGAAAAUAAAAAGAAAUCAAAGCUGAAUCCUCGAGUGCAAUGCAAAGAAUUUUUUCUCUCUCUUCUCUAACUCCUCUUAUUCGAAAUUGCUCAUCAUUGUGCUGUUCUUCGAGAUAUCGCUAGAGUAGAGAAAGCUAUUCUACCGUUAAGUGCAGAGGAAAGAGAAGGGCAAGGGCCUGGUAUGAUGCUAUUCUAUAGGAAGUGAGAAGGUGAAGGGUUAAAAUAUUUUGCAAUUUGGAGGUGGUGUUUGUUAGUGUGUGUACUUCUGAAUUUAUUACCUCUUUAGGAUCCAUAGAAAUUGCCUCUUGUUCAGCAUGCACUGUGCCUACGAGUAAGGCGAGCUUGCAUGAUAUCUAUUGUCUAUUUACUUGGAUAUUCAAACAGGACUACCAGCAACCAAACACAAAUCCCCAAACAAAACACUCUUUCAAGUGCAAGGAAAGAGUAACUUGGGCAUAUUUAUGGUUCAAGCACUACCAUAACUAAGAAUGUGAUGCUGUCCACAAACACUAUAUCAGUGCCUUUUGAACUACAUCACAUGCUCGAAGACUUUUUUUUUAGUCAUACAUAAAUUAGCUAUAAAAUAAAGACCAUUAUACAACUAAAAAGAAAGAAAAAUUGUUUGCUACUACGUAUCAAAACUGGUAAUAGCAAUGUAAGAUGGCAGACUUCUUACUUAAACAGAUGAGAGGCUACAAAUAAAAAAUUUGUGCAAAUAAAAUAUAUGAUAAAGAGCGUAAUACUAUAUUGGGGGCUAAAAAUAAUAUACAACUUGUGAAAUAUAAAUUGAGCUACCAUUACCUUUUCGAUGUGGCAACUUUCGACUUUUGAGGCACCUUGGAAUAUGCAUUCAGAAUCCUGCAUUUGGAAGCCAAAUAAAUAAUGUUAAUAACAAUUUUACAAUAGAAAAAUUAAAAAUUGAUAAAUGGCAGUUGUAAUUUAUGUGUGUAAAGAUAGCAUCGCAUCCAGGUUCCUCCCAUAAACAUGCUUGUAACAAGAAUUAGUUUGCCUCAACUGCUAGCAACUAUACAAUAGUAAAAAUCACUCUUAUGAACUCAACAAUACUAGGCACCAAUAAGAGUAUGACACAGCCAUUCUAAAUGGAAGAGAAUACAACUGUUUUACAACUAUGUUGCAUCAGGAGAUAUGUUAGGAGGAUUAAUCCAGAUACCUUCCAACCCAAUUAGGAAAACUCGAGUCAGAAACCAGGAGCUGCAACCAAACCUUACAAUCUUGAAGGAAGAAGGAGACUUGGGGCAUUUUUCCAGAUAGGUGACUUACAAGAUCUCCUGCCAAGAAAAUAUCUAUUGCUUUGAACCUCCAUUGAAAUUUCUUUUCCCUUUUUCUUGUUUUGACUUGGAACUUUCCAGCAUCAUCUAUUUGAUCUUUUUUAAAGCUAAAAUAGCAAUCUAUGGGUUGUCAACAUCUUAUCCCCCCCCCCCCCCCCCGGGGGGCCACCAAAAAACAAAACCAAUGAGUUGUCAAUAAAUAGCGCCUACUCAACUUAUGUUCUCCAAUGAUGACAAUGUGCAAAUCGACCUAGCAGCCACAUUUUUCCCCCCUUUCAACCACCUUUAGGCAACUUUUCUAACCUUUCUUCAUUGCCCACGUCUACAGAACUAUCAUAUAAAGACUACAUUAUUAUUGGGAUAGAGAAAAAAAUACGGACUAUAUUAUUAUUAUUAUAUCUCAUUUUAUUAAUGAACUAGUGCAAGACUUAUUUAGUGUCAAAUCAAGAACUAAUUAGAAAAGACAACUCAUGAUAAUACAGACCUUAAAAAGCAAUAGCUAGCAACACCCCAUAUACUCCUAUUUUAGCCUUCAAUAUCCUGGUAAAAACACAAUUAAGUCUUGCCAAAGAACAUUCACAAGUAAAUUCAACAUUAAUUAAGAUUAAGUAUCUACUGCACCUUCAAUCAAUGACUGGGUGAAUAGCAUGGUCAACCAUCCAGUUCCUGUAGCCCUCCUUGUACCUAUGUUAGUUACAUUUUACAUAUUAAGCCACGAAAAUGAAGGAUCACAGCCUGGUAAAGAAAGCCAUUAAUUAAUAGUUUUUGUUUAAAAAGUUCUCGUUUAGAUCUUUCCUAUUCAAUGAAUCAAUGUAAUCCAUGGAGAACUCUUCCAUUUCAAGCAGUGUUAGAAGAUAAUUGGAAAGCCUAAAGAUAAUAUACAAGGACCAAGAUAUCAAUUAGGUCAAAUAGUGAAUGUCAAAUAUAAAAAAUAAAUAAAAGAAGUUGUACAUGAUCAUUUACUAUCAAGUUCUGUAAAACUGAAAAUACCAUUAUCCCUGUAUAGAUUCUCAAACAACUCUUUAGCAAAUUAUAAAAUAGUUAAAAAAAGAACGAAAGUUUUAAAAAAAAAAAUGUACAACAGCCAUAUCAGGAGAUGUUUUUCUUCUCAAUCUCAAUAUUUUCUUGCCGUAAAAAAUUGAAAAGCUUAACACCAAGUGAAUUAUUAAGAAUUCAUCAUUUAAAUUCCCAAAUCGCAAAAUGUUGGUGCAACUAGGAAAGUGCAAAUGCAAUCACUUUACUAACACAAGAAACAUCAAUAGUGAGAAGCCAACUUUGUAUCAAAUUUGAAACAGAUAGAUAGAGGUCAAAAAAAUUAUAAAGACACUCAAUUAAAAGCCUUUCAAACAGCUUUUGCAUGCAACAAGAACAAAUCAAAGGCGAUGUGAAUGUAUUGAAAGACUAAUUUACAAUCAUCUACAGGACAUAAAUAUCUUGGAUAACUACUCUCUACACCUUACUGUCCCACUGAAAAUCAUCAAAUCCCUCCAAACAAAAAUGACAAAAUGGAUAAGAAUUGUGUGGUCAAACUUCAAUAACUUAGCAGCCACAGCAAAAACUUAUGUAGACACGCAAGCCACUCAAAAUAGUCAUAUUGUUUGCUUUCUAAACACAAGCCACAUUGUAAUGAAUAUUCAUAAAUUGCUACUACCAUGUUUGUUAAAACACGUGAAAACCACCAUAACUAACUAAAUGUAACUGAUGAUCAUCAUCACAUUCAUGGAAUCACAUAUCCGACAGUAUUAAUUAGUGCAAAUGGCAUGCUUCUUAAAACUCCUUAUUUAUCACAUGGGCGCCAUUCCAAUCAACCAAUGAUUCUGAUCUAGUCAGCAUAUUCAACCCACGAGCGAGUAAUACCUCCAUUGCUUCUUUAGAUUUCUCAACGAAAUUCCACAUUCUAACCAUACUUCUGAACUUGUUGCUCCCAUAGACUAAUACAAUAUAAAGAUUUCUUCCCACACCACCUCAGCCCCCACUCCUAAAAAACCAAUUUAAAUUCUCAUUGACUGUACAACCUAUAGUCCAUACCAAAUUGAAAAAUUUACAAAUAUAGAACCUCAAAGAAUCUUCUUGCGUUCCAUUUUUUACGGCAAGAAAAUUGACUUUUACCACAUGCAAGUCAACAAAUAAAACAAUCAUGUCUUUGUGAGAUGCACAUUUUCAGACGAAUCUGAAGAGCAAUGAAACCAUAAAAACCUAAUGUGAGAACACCGAGGACUCCAGAUAUCAUCCAUAGAAUCUUUGGUCCACCCUUGCAUGAUGAAAAAAAAUUGAAGGCUUCGUCACCAACUCCCCAGGUUGUUUUGUUCUCCUAUCUCCUAAAUGUAAAGGAAAGACAACCCGUUCUUUUUCCAAUCUUAAGGGACACAGAACGACUCUAGUAUAAAAUAGUCAGUUUCUAUACAAAAAUAACUCCUUUGCACUUGGCACUGCACAUCUCAAAAUAAAAAGCAUGCAAGGAGGAGAAUAUAAUAGCAGUAAACAAGUUUUAUUAACCAAACUUCAAAGAUGCCACACAAGGCAAAAAAGAAAUCUGUACAAGCCAGAUCCCAAGAAUAAUAAUUCCAAUAUACAAUUCAGGAAAACAAUAACUAAAAACAGGUUCAUGAGGCCUCAGCAGAAGCAACAUGUAAUAACCAUACUCUAUUAUUUGAAACACAUUUCCAAGUUUGGUUAAGAUUCUAAACUAUUCUCUAUCUGUCAAUUAUUAACAUGUAAAACAUAAUAAUAUACACUUAAACUACUACAGUAGUAAAACCAGUAAAACAACAAUACCUGCUAAAAAGAUUGGCUACCUCUUCACAUUCACGAGCAUUGUAGAACCAAAUCCCAUUUACUUCUUGGGAUGCAUUUCGAUAUAACAAAUACGGAAUCUGAACUUCAAACUCAAAAUCUCCCAAAAGAUUUUCCACUAAAUUAUCUGCACAUAUACAAGAUAUUGAAGCUUAUCAGUGCAAAAACAUAUACAAAAAGACAUGAAGGUUAGGAGACAUAACUAAAACUUAGCAACAACUGAUAAGCACAACAAGAAAUGAAAUAUAACACGAGUUGUAAACAAGAUAGACACACGGUAUCUAAAAAAUUGUACCAACUCCCUCUCCUGGUUGUCAUAAAACGGCCAAUAUUUAACCCUAGACAACAAAAUUGCAAAUACUCUAGCCUCUGUAAUAUUGGCAUAUAAAUAUUUUCGGUUAGGUACAUUAUAUUCUUCGUUCUAAAACCUCAAUUAUUAGCUAGUACUGUGAUAAAAUGAUUCAUCACUGAAAUUAAAACUUCACGUACAAAUAAUCAAAACUGAAAUAGAAGCAACGAUAAACCAACCUGUAUUACGUCGAUUAAUCACAACAAACUGAAAUCGAGGCUGUGUGUUCCUGAAAAUUGAAAAAAUAAUAAUUUCACCAACUUCAUAUGUAAUACAAUCUCCAAAACAACGAAUAUCAAAUGAAAAAAAGGGAAAGCAUAAGAGAGAAAAGAAUCUAAUUUUAUUGACCUUUUGACGACGAAGAGAGAGCCUUCAACAUCGUUACGACUCCAUAUGCUGAGAUCGAUGUUGAACUCGUAGAAGGUGACAUGAGCGGCCGUGAUGAGGAUCUCCUCAAUGAAUGGAUCGAUUCGCUGAAGAACUGUCAGGUUUAGGAGUUUUGUGCUCUGCUGGUCCAGAUUAGGCAUCAAUUUUCCGUUCUGCGACAUUUUUCAUAGUCCUUUUGGGCUUCUGCCCCGAUCACUAGCCCUCAGGUUUUUCUGUGAGCUCUCGCUCUUUUGUAAAUAAAGUGUUUGAUGAGAUAGCCGAAAGAGAGUGAAAGAGUUGAACAGCCAAACAAGGUGAGGUGAACAGUUUCGGACUGAGACUCGAGAUUGAUCUUUGCUUUAACGUCUUUCAAACAUUUGGGAAAUAGCAUUUAUUUCUUUCAAUUUCUCUACUUUUUUUUUCCUUUAUGUUAUUUAGACCCCAAAAUUAGAUUUAUUAUAAUCAUAUUUUACCCAUACACUAUUAAUCCCUUUUAUUUUUUAAAUUGUCAAUAUUAAUGUAUUAGAAUAAUGUUAGAAAUCCCAAUUAUUAUCGCAAUGUUUCAAUCAUAACUAAUGUGAUAACUCAUCGGUAACUACAACAUUAACUUAAUUAUUAAUGUUUAUCAUGAAAUGAUGAGAUUAUUAUUCAAGAAAAACUUAGUAAACAUCAAUGACUAAUAUAAUAUGACAAUUACAACUGAAUAUUAGUACAAUAAUUAGGAUCCCUAAAGUUAGUGAAUGUAUUAUAAUAUAUGUGUGUUACACCACUUUAUGUCUCUCAAAUUCAAUUAAGUAAUUUCAGAAACCUGAUCUUUUAUUACAUUAAUUAGGAAUGCAUACAUGAACGAAAGAUGUGCAAUUUUUGUUCUAUUUUUCACUAUUAUUUACCAUUCAUCUACUUACAUCACUUGAUUUUUUGUGAUUAAUAUGCUUAAAUGGAUCUCUUAGAUAUAAAUAAAAUAAACGAAAAGUCUAAGAGAAAAAAAAAUGAGGACCGAAAUUAUUACACCUACAACAAAUUUGCCCAGAGAGCAAUAAAUCAAACUUGCUUAGGAAGUACAAUGAUUAGUUAAUAACUAAAAGAGCCUUCACCUGACAUGUUAAAGCUUCUGUCAAGCAAAACACCCAUUGAAAGCUGUUUAGGUCCGUCUUAGAUCAUCGGAAAUUUGACAAAAUCAUAAAAACCCUCAUCUUAUGAUAAUCUUUUCCAGAUAGGUGACUUACUAGAUCUCCUGCCAAGAGAAUAUCUAUGGUUUUGAACCUCCAUUGAAAUUUCUUUUUCCCUUUUUCUUGUUUUGACUUGGAACAAUUUAUUUGAUCUUUUUUAAAGGUAAAAUAACAAUUUAUAGGUUGCCAACAUCGUAUUCUGCCAAAUCCCACCCCAAAACAAAAAAAAAAAAUCAAUGGGUUGACAACAAAUAGCGCCUACUCAACUUAUGUUCUCCAACGGACGACAAUAUGCAAAUCGACCUAGUAGCCACAUUUUUCCCCCUUUCAACCACCGUUAGGCACCUUUUCUAACCUUCCUUCAUUGCCCACACCUGCAGAACUAUAAUAAAAAGACUACAUUAUUAUUGAGGUAGAGAAAAUAUACAGACUGUAUUAUUAUUACAUCCCAUUUUACUAAUUAACUAGUGCAAGACUUCUUUAGUGUCAAAUCAAGAACUGAUUAGAAAAGACAACUCAUGAUAAUACAGACCUUAAUAAGCAAUAGCUAACAACAUCCCAUAUACUCCUAUUUUAGCCUUCACUAUCCUGGUAAAAACACAAUUAAGUCUUGCAAAAGAACAUUCAUAAGUAAAUUCAACAUUAAUUAAGAUUAGGUAUCUACUGCACCUAAUAGCAUGGUCAACCAUCUAGUUCCUGUAGCCUUCCAUGUACCUAUGUUAGUUACAUUUUACAUAUUAAGCCACGAAAACGAAGAAUCACAGCCUGGUAAAGAAAGCCAUUAAUUAAUAGUUUUUGUUUAAAAAGUUCUCCCUUAGAUCUUUCCUACUCAAUGAAUCAAUGUAAUCUAAAGAGAACUCUUCCAUUUCAAACAGUGUUAGAAGAUAUUUGCAAAGCCUAAAGAUAACAUACAAGGACCAAGAUAUACACGGAUGGUUUCUUUAUGAGACUAAAGAGCUUUUUUAGAUGUUAAAACUGUUUCAAACUGUUUUUCUGGUUUGGUUUAACUAAGGAAGAGCUUGUGGAAGAUUAAAAAUGAUGUUUCCUGUUCUCUGUAGGAAGCUUUUAGGAGAUUUUUUGGGCUUUUUUGAAAGGUUGAAUUGUCAAAAAUACCUUGAUGUUAUUGUUUGCUAAAAGAUGUUAUGGACAACUAAACAACCAACAACAUUUUGCACAAUUUUCAACUUUCAAGGAAGAUAGCUAUGAGGGGAAUCCUUUUCUUUGUGGAUGGCCACUGUCCAAAAGUUGCGAUGAUAAUGGAUUAACAACAGUGACAACAGAAGCUGACACUGAAAAUGAAGAAGUUGAUAGUUUAAUUGACAUGGACAGUUUCCUGAUCACUUUUACAGUAUCUUAUGGAAUUGUGAUAUUCGGAAUUAUUGGAGUUUUGUACGUAAACCCCUAUUGGCGGCGAAGUUGGUUUUACCUUGUUGAAGUAUGUAUGACCUCUUGCUACUAUUUUGCAGCAGACAAUCUUGUUCCUAGAAAAUUCUAUGGUGGAUGGAUGUAAUUUCAUUACAUUACAACUUAUAUGUAAUUUUCAAAGAAUUUUCUUUUGCAUGCAUGGAAUAGCAACUCAAUAAAAGUAUUUGAUGCAAAUUGUCCAAGAACAACUUAGUAAUUUCAUUGCUACUAUUCGGUUGUAUGUAUACAGUUAAUGAAAUUUUUAACCAUUCGCAGAAUACCCUUAGGAAUUUCUUUAGAUGGCGGCCAAAAACUAAGAGAUUCGGGGCUCUACACAGUCUGAAUGAAGAUUAACUUAAUGCCCUCAGGAUUAUGUGUAAGUUCUCUUUUAAAUUUAAGGGGUUGAGAUUUCAGGUCCGGAUGAAAGUUGAAUGCAGGUCACGAGACUUCACUGGGACAAACUUAAAAUAAAAAAUUAUAGUCCACAGUAAGAGCAAUGGGUAGCUUAACUUAUGGAAGAUAACUAGAACUUGGAAUAACUUAAAUUAGCUAUAAAAUUAAGACCAUUAUACAACUAAAAAGAAAGAAAAAUUGUUUGCUACUACAUAUCAAAACUGGUAAUAGCAAUGUAAGAUGGCAGACUUCUUACUUAAACAGAUGAGAGGCUACAAAUAAAAAAAUUGUGCAAAUAAAAGAUAUGAUAAAGAGCAUAAUACUUUCUUGGGGGCUAAAAAUAAUAUACAACUUGUGAAAUAUAAAUUGAGCUACCAUUACCUUUUAGAUGUGGCAACUUUCGACUUUUGAGGCACUUUGGAAUAUGCAUUCAGAAUCCUGCAUUUGGAAGCCAAAUAAAUAAUGUUAAUAACAAUUUUACAAUAGAAAAAUUAAAAAUUGAUAAAUGGCAGUUGUAAUUUAUGUAUGUGUAAAGAUAGCAUCACAUCCAGGGUCCUCCCAUAAACAUGCUUGUAACAAGAAUUAGUUUGCCUCAACUGCUAGCAACUGCUAACAAUAUACAAUAGUAAAAAUCACUCUUAUGAACUCAACAAUACUAGGCACCAAUAAGAGUAUGAUACAGCCAUUCUAAAUGGAAGAGAAUAUAACUGUUUUACAACUAUGUUGCAUCAGGAGAUAUGUUAGGAGGAUUAAUCCAGAUACCUUCCAACCCAAUUAGGAAAACUCAAGUCAGAAACCAGGAGCUGCAACCGAACCUUACAAUCUUGAAGGAAGAAGGAGACUUGGGGCAUUUUUCCAGAUAGGUGACUUACUAGAUCUCCUGCCAAGAGAAUAUCUAUUGCUUUGAACCUCCAUUGAAUUUUCUUUUCCCUUUUUCUUGUUUUGACUUGGAACUUUCCAGCAUCAUCUAUUUGAGCUUUUUUAAAGCUAAAAAAGCAAUCUAUGGGUUGUCAACAUCUUAUCACCCCCCCCCCCCGCGGGCCCCCCAAAAAAAAAUCAAUGAGUUGUCAAUAAAUAGCGCCUACUCAAAUGUUUUCCAAUGGAUGACAAUGUGCAAAUCGACCUAGCAGCCACAUUUUUCCCCCCUUUCAACCACCAUUAGGCAACUUUUCUAACCUUUCUUCAUUGCCCACAUCUAGAGAACUAUCAUAUAAAGACUACAUUAUUAUUGGGAUAGAGAAAAAUAUACAGACUAUAUUAUUAUAACUCAUUUUAUUAAUUAACUAGUGCAAGACUUAUUUAGUGUCAAAUCAAGAACUAAUUAGAAAAGACAACUCCUGAUAAUACAGACCUUAAAAAGCAAUAGCUAGCAACACCCCAUAUACUCCUAUUUUAGCCUUCAAUAUCCUGGUAAAAACACAAUUAAGUCUUGCAAAAGAACAUUCACAAGUAAAUUCAACAUUAAUUAAGAUUAAGUAUCUACUGCACCUUCAAUCAAUGACUGGGUGAAUAGCAUGGUCAACCAUCUAGUUCGUGUAGCCCUCCUUGUACCUAUGUUAGUUACAUUUUACAUAUUAAGCCAUGAAAAUGAAGGAUCACAGCCUGGUAAAGAAAGCCAUUAAUUAAUAGUGUUUGUUUAAAAAGUUCUCGUUUAGAUCUUUCCUAUUCAAUGAAUCAAUGUAAUCUAAGGAGAACUCUUCCAUUUCAAGCGGUGUUAGAAGAUAAUUGGAAAGCCUAAAGAUAAUAUACAAGGACCAAGAUAUCGAUUAGGUCAAAUAGUGAAUGUCAAAUAUAAAAAAUAAAUAAAAGAAGUUGUACAUGAUCAUUUACUAUCAAGUUAUGUAAAAUUGAAAAUACCAUUAUUCCUGUAGAGAUUCUCAAACAACUCUUUGGCAAAUUAUAAAAUAGUUAAAAAAAGAACGAAAGUUUAAAAAAAAAAAGAAAAUGUACAACAUCCAUAUCAGGAGAUGUUUUUCUUCUCAAUCUCAAUAUUUUCUAGCCGUGAAGCAAUUGAAAAGCUUAACACUAAGUGAAUUAUUAAGAAUUCAUCAUUUAAAUUCCCAAAUCGCAAAAUGUUGGUGCAACUAGGAAAGUGCAAAUGCAAUCACUUAACUAACACAAGAAACACCAAUAGUGAGAGCCCACUUUGUAUCAAAUUUGAAACAGAUAGAGGUCAAAAAAAUUAUAGACACUCAAUUAAAAGCCUUUCAAACAGCUUUUGCAUGCAAUAAGAACAAAUCAAAGGCGAUGUGAAUGUAUUCAAAGACUAAUUUACAAUCAUCUACAGGACAUAAAUAUCUUGGAUACCUACUCUCUAUACCUUCCUGUCCAACUGAAAAUCACCAAAUCCCUCCAAACAAAAAUGACAAAAUGGAUAAGAAUUGUGUGGUCAAACUUCAAUAACUUAGCAGCCACAGCAAAAACUUAUGUAGACAUGCAAGCCACUCAAAAUAGUCAUAUUUUUUGCUUUCCAAACACAAGCCACUGUGUAAUGAAUGCUCAUAAAUUGCUACUACCAUGUUUGUUAAAACACGUGAAAACCACCAUAACUAACUCAAUGUAACUGAUGAUCAUCAUCACAUUCAUGGAAUCACAUAUCUGACAGUAUUAAUUAGUGCAAAUUGCAUGCUUCUUGAAACUCCUUGUUUAUCACAUGGGCGCCAUUCCAAUCAACCAAUGAUUCUGAUCUAGUCGGCAUAUUCAACCCACGAGCGAGUAAUACCUCUUAUUGCUUCUUUACAUUUCUCAACGAAAUUCCACAUUCAAACCAUACUUCUGAACUUGUUGCUCCCAUAGACUAAUACAAUAUAAAUAUUUCUUCCCACACCACCUCAAUCCCCACUCCUGAAAAACCAAUUUAAAUUCUCAUUGGCUGUACAACCUAUAGUCCAUACCAAAUUGAAAAAUUUACAAAUAUAGAACCUCAAAGAAUCUUCUUGCGUUCCAUUUUUUACGGCAAGAAAUUUGACUUUUACCACAUGCAAGUCAACAAAUAAAAAAAUCAUGUCUUUGUGAGAUGCACAUUUUCAGACGAAUUUGAAGAGCAAUGAAACUGUAAAAACCGAAUAUGAGAACACCGAGGACUGCAGAUAUCACCUAUAGAAUCUUCGGUCCACACUUGCAUGAUGAAAAUGAUGAAAAAAAAUUGAAGGCUUCGUCACCAGCUCCCCAGGUUGUUUUGUUCUCCUAUCUCCUAAACAUAAAGGAAAUGCAACCUGUUCUUUUUUCCAAUCUUAAGGGGCACAGAACGACCCUGGUAUAAAAUAGUCAGUUUCUAUACAAAAAUAACUCCUUUGCACUUGGCAUUCCACAUCUCAAAAUAAAAAGCAUGCAAGGAGGAGAACAUAAUAGCAUUAAACAAGUUUUAUUAACCAAACUUCAAAGAUGCCACACAAGGCAAAAAAGGAAUCUGUACAAGCCAGAUCCCAAGAAUAAUAAUUCCAAUAUACAAUUCACAAAAACAAUAACUAAAACCAUGUUCAUGAGGCCUCAGCAGAAGCAACAUGUAAUAACCAUACUCUAUUAUUUGAAACACAUUUCCAAGUUUGGUUAAGAUUCUAAACCAUUCUCUAUGUGUCAAUUAUUAACAUGUAAAACAUAAUAAUAUACACUUAAACUACUACAGUAGUAAAACCAGUAAAACAACAAUACCUGCUAAAAAGAUUUGCUACCUCUUCACAUUCACGAGCAUUGCAGAACCAAAUCCCAUUUACUUCUUGGGAUGCAUUCCGAUAUAAAAAAUACGGAACCUGAACUUCAAACUCAAAAUCUCCCAAAAGAUUUUCCACUAAAUUAUCUGCACAUAUCCAAGAAAUUGAAGCUUAUCAGUGCAAAAACAUAUGCAAAAAGACAUGAAGGUUAGGAGAUACAACUAAAACUUAGCAACAACUGAUAAGCACAACAAGAAAUGAAAUAUAACACGAGUUGUAAACAAGAUAGACACAUGGUAUCUAAAUAAUUGUACCAACCCCCUCUCCUGAUUGUCAUAAAAAGGCCAAUAUUUAACCCUAGACAACAAAAUUGCAAAUACUCUAGCCUCUAUAUUAUUGGCAUAUAAAUAUUUUCGGUUAGGUACAUUAUAUUCUUCCUUCUAAAACCUCAAUUAUUAGCUAGUACUGUGAUAAAAUGAUUCAAAACUGAAAUAGAAACAACGACAAACCAACCUGUAUUACGUCGAUUCAUUACAACAAACUGAAAUCGAGGCUGUGUGUUCCUGAAAAUUGAAAAAAUAAUAAUUUCACCAACUUCAUAUGUAAUACAAUCUCCAAAACACUGAAUAUCAAAUGAAAAAAAUGGAAAGCAUAAGAGAGAAAAGAAUCUAAUUUUAUUGACCUUUUGACGACGAAGAGAGAGCCUUCAACAUCCUUACGACUCCAUUGGCUGAGAUCGAUGUUGAACUCGUAGAAGGUGACAUGAGCGGCCGUGAUGAGGAUCUCCUCAAUGAAUGGAUCGAUUCGCUGAAGAACUGUCAGGUUUAGGAGUUUUGUGCUCUGCUGGUCCAGAUUAGGCAUCAAUUUUCCGUUCUGCGACAUUUUUCAUAGUCCUUUUGGGCUCUGCCCCGAGCACAAGCCCCAUGGUUUUUCUGUGAGCUCUCUCUUUUGUAAAUAAAGUGUUUCAUGAGAUAGUCGAGAGAGAGUGAAAGAGUUGAACAGCUAAACAAGGUGAGGUGAACACUUUCGGACUGAGACUCGAGAUUGAUCUUUGCUUUAACGUCUUUCAAACAUUUGGGAAAUAGCAUUUAUUUCUUUCACAGGGAUUUGUCUGUGGUAUACCCCAAAAAAAGGGUAUUUAUCUAAAAAUACCUCCAUACUCAAAAAUUUCUCGUAUAUGCCUUUUCUAAUAUGCAGUUACGAAAUUACCCUAAUGAAAAACCUAAAUCAACUAAACUACCACAAUCAAUCGUGUAACAAAAUCCCUAAUUUUUUCUCAUGAGCAGCUUCUUCUUCAGCCCGUUCUUCUGGGUUUCUCCUCCUCCAUUUUACAAAUCCCUAUUAUUUUACAACAAUUCUUCUACACACUCUCGCCUCUCUGCAAAUCAGUAGCUGCAAUUCCCCCACUCUGCUUCAGCAUCUCCUCUUCCAGGUACUUUUAGAAAGUCAAAUUUUUUGUUUUAAUGUAAAAUAAAAUUUGAAAGUUUCAAAGCUCAAGUUAUUGAUUUUUCUGAAAAAAAUCAUUUGCAGCUGGUAUUGAAAUGUGUGCAAAGUCUUGUGCCAAAAGCUUAAUUUUCAUUUCUCGCAAAAGUCAGAUGACAAGACUUCACUUGAUUAGGCUUAUGCUUGUCUUUUACCUUGCAUUAAUUUUCAUCUCUUGUAAAAGUCAGAUAAUAAGGCUUCACUCGAUUAGACUAAUAAUUGAUUUAACAUAUUCAUUUUCUGAUUAAUUGUCAUCCAAUUUGCACGCACAUCGGAUAGAAUUCAUCCAAAAAAAUGGCUCGUAAGGUACGGGAGUCCAAAUACUUAUAAACCUACACACCAAGCCUUAGCUUAGCAAUAUGACACUCAAUUAUAGUUCAUAACCGAUAUGCAUGGUGGCCAUAUAUGGGGCUGAGUGACUUCACAGAUUUCAUACAAGGUGAAUAGCAGGUCUUCUUCUCAACUUACUUCGUCUGUGAAGAGAGAUUUCAUCAAAAAAUUGGUAAAACUCAUUCAAAAGACCGACUUAUGAUGUUAGAAAGACCAAAUACCCUAUAAAAUGCUUAAUAAAGUGGUCGCACAAUUAUUCUUGUGUACACAGUACCAAUGCAAUAGAAAAUAGGGUAAACAUUAAUGUCUCUAGCUACUCAGUCCAAUAGACAGUAUAAUCUAAAGAUGUCGUGUUGUUGUAUUGUUACACUGGUGAGACAAUUGCUGCAUGUUGCAGACAUGAUACCUCUAGUACUUCAAAAGAUAGCAUAUCACGAAACACAUCCAGACUGUAGUGAGGUUAUUUCGAAAAUUCCUUGGCCCAUUGUGUGAGUGCGUGACAUCCCGCAACAAAAAUCAGGGUAUGUACUAUAUAUAUAAUGUGUUUUGAACAUAAUAAUAAAAAUGAUGAUUUUUAACAAUUGAUUUAUAUGAAUAUUUUUAGUGGUGACUGUGGAGCAUUUUUGUUGCGGUACUUGGAGGUCCUAGCCCAUGGACUUGAUGUCAAUUCAUACUGCCAACAAGAUCAUGUUACACAAUUUCGACAAGCCUUGGCUGUAAAAUUAUUUGGGCAUAGGUCAUGGAAAAAAACUCCGUAGUGUCAUUUUUUGGAUUAUGAGAUGUAAUAGUUGUAAUGAGGAUGUUGUUGAUAUUUGAUGUCAUUAAAGACAAUUGACAGCAUUAAUAUAUUUUAUUUCUUUGUUAUUUAUAUUAAUGAUAGAUAAGAUAGUUUGCACAAUAUAUGCACAGGGAAUACACUGUAAGAGAAUACACGACUGCAGUCGGGUAUUUGCACAGAUACACGACUGCGGUCGGGUAUUUGGAAAUAAACAUAAUACGCUCUGUGUAAAAUACUCGACUGCAGUCGGGUAUUUGGAAAUAAACAUAAUACGCUCUGUGUAAAAUACUCGACUGCAGUCGGGUAUUUGCACAGAUACACGACUGCGGUCGGGUAUUUGGAAAUAAACAUAAUACGCUCUGUGUAAAAUACUCGACUGCAGUCGGGUAUUUGCACAGAUACACGACUGCGGUCGGGUAUUUGAAAAUAAACAUAAUAAGCUGUAACAAAAUACUCGACUGCGGUCGGGUAUUUGCAAAUAAACAUAAUAAGCUCUGUGACAAAAUACUCGACUGCAGUUGUGUAUUUGCACAAAUACACGACUGUAGUCGGGUAUUUACAAAUAAAAAUGACAAGCUCUCUGUGAAAAAAUACUCGACUGCAGUCGAGUAUUUGCACAGAUACGCGACUAUAGUUGAGUAUUUAGAAAUAAAUAUGACAAGCUCUCUGUGACAGUCGGGUAUUUACACAGAUACACGACUGUAGUCGAGUAUUUAGAAAUAAACAUGACCAGUUUUGUAACAGUCAAAAUACACUAUUGUACUGGGGUAUGUGCACAGAAUAAAAACUCUUUUCAAUCAUUCAUUAUAUUGAUGACACAAUCAAUAUAGAUUUUAAACAUAUCAAACUUCAAAUAAAUGAAACUAACUAUAGUCUGGUUGCCUAUCAAAUAACACAAAUCCAAUAGUUAUUGAAAUCGUAAAUAAGUCGUAAUACAAUAGAAGUUGUUUAACAUUCAUCAUAAAUUUUUGGCAUAUUCAACCCAAACACUCGGUCCAUAUUUUAUAAGCCUCUGGUCGCCUCCCUUCAAUACUUGUUCUUAGAAAGUCACACAAACAUGUUUAUUCAUCUGCGAAACAAAAAGGUAGAAAUUUAUCACUAAAUAUGAAAGAUAUUAAAAAAAUUAAAACAACAAAAAAUAACAAGUAUAUAAGGUUCAUAGUAGUCGUGUAACUUAUUAACAAUUAUAGUAUGUAAGUUUAUACGUACACGCUAGUAGUCGUGUAACUUAUUAACACACAUGACUAUAGUCUAGUAAUAGUAAAAGGAUAUAUAUAGUGAAAAAUAUAUAUUUUUUGAACCAAUAGAAUAAUAAGGUGUCAUAAUAAUUGAAUUUUUUUGCACAUUUUCACGACUACAGUCGUGUAAAUACAUACAUACACGACUGAUGUCGUGUAUGUCGGGUGCAGAAAAAAAAUUUGACAACAACUUCAGAUUUUAACGAAUGUAGUUAUAAAAUCCAUCAAAUAACAGUCAUAUGAUGCAAAUGUAAUAAAAAUAUGAGUUGCUUUAGUGUUUAUCACAAACCAAACAAAACCCUAAAAAUAAUAUAAUGUCAACAAAUUGAAUAGAUAGCCCAAAAUAAAAUAAAAAAAGUUUCAAAUACCUUAUUCAUGGGAUGAAUAAUACACCCAGCUGCAAACAAACUCAGUGCAUUAGCUGUUUGUGAGUGAUUUUGAGUGUGGUGUGAGUUUUUGUAUAGGUGAUAAAUACGUGAGAAGCAAAGAGUGUUGUGAGUUGUGUGUGUGUUUUAUAUUUUUCUUUAGGGAUAUUUUAGACAAUGUACCACAUAAAAAGGCAUACUUAAAUAAUUUUCAAACAUGAGGUAUAUUUAACUAAAUACACUACUUUUAAGGCAUAUUUAAUUAAAAACCCCUUUCUUUCAAUUUCUCUACUUUUUUUUGUUUUCCUUUAUGUCAUUUAGACCCCAAAAUUAGAUUUAUUAUAAUCAUAUUUUACCCAUUCACUAUUAACCCCUUUUAUUUUUAAAAUUGUCAAUAUUAAUGUAUUAGAAUAAUGUUAGAAAUCCCAAUUAUUAUCUCAAUGUUUAAAUCAUAACUAAUAUGAUAACUCAUCGGUUACUGCAACAUUAACUUAAUUAUUAAUGUUUAUCAUGAAAUGAUGAGAUUAUUAGUCAAGAAAGAAUUAGAAAAUAUCAAUGACUAAUACAAUGUGGCAAUUACAGUUGAAUAUUAAUACAAUAAUUAGGAUCCCAAAAGCUAGUGAAUGUAUUAUAAUAUAUGUGUGUUACACCACUUUAUGUCUCUCAAAUUCAAAUAAGUAAUUUCAUAAACCUGAUCUUUUAUUACAUUAAUUAGGAAUGCAUACAUGAACGAAAGAUGUGCAAUUUUUGUUCUAUUUUUCACUAUUAUUUACCAUUCAUCUGCUUACGUCACUUGAUUUUUUGCGAUUAAUAUGCUUAAAUGGAUCUCUUAGAUAUAAAUAAAAUAAACGAAAAGUCUUAAGAGAAAAAAAAAUGAGGACCGAAAUUAUUACACCUACGACAAAUUUGCCCGGAGAGCAAUAAACCAAACUUGCUUAGGAAAUACAAUGAUUAGUUAACAACUAAAAGAGCCUUCACCUUACAACUUAAAGCUUCUGUCAAGCAAACACCCAUUGAAAGCUGUUUAGGUCCGUUUUUAGAUCAUCGGAAAUUUGACAAAAUCAUAAAAACCCUCAUCUUAGAAAUUCCAAGCAUCAGGCAGUAGAUCAGGCAGUAGUCCGACUUUAUUGAUAUUGAGAGUAACACAAUAAAAGUUUCGUACAGAUUUUGCAAACGAAAAGCACAUAAUACACUUAACUAGGAGGAAAAAUUAAAGUGUACAUAUUACAAUCUGCUAACAAUAUACAAUAGUAUAUUGUAUAUACAAUAGUAUAUAUACAAAUUAACUAGGCACCAAUAAGAGUAUGAUACAACCAUUCUAAAUGAAAGAGAAUACAAUUGUUUUACAACUAUGUCACAUCAGGAGAUAUGUUAGCAGGAUUAAUCCAGAUACCUUCGAACCCAAUUAACGAACUCGAGUCAGAAACCAGGGGCCCCUAACUGAACCUUACAAUCUUGAAGGAAGAAGGAGACUUGUGGUCCAGAUAGGAGACUUACUAGAUCUCCUGCAAAAGAGAAUAUCUAUUGCUUUGAACCUCCAUUGAAAUUUCUUUUUCCCUUUUUCUUGUUUUGACUUGGAACUUUCCAGCAUCAUCUAUUUGAUCUUUUUUGAAGGUAAAAUAGCAAUCUAUAGGUUGCCAACAUGUUAUUCUGCCAAACCCCACCCCACCCCCCCGGGGGACAACAAAUCGACCUAGCACACACCUUUCUUCAUUGCCCACACCUACAGAACUAUAAUAAAAAGACUACGUUACUAUUGGGGUAGAGAAAAUAUACAGACUGUAUUAUUAUUACAUCGCAUUUUACUAAUUAACUAGUGCAAGACUUCUUUAGUGUCAAAUCAAGAACUAAUUAGAAAAGACAACUCAUGAUAAUACAGACCUUAAUAAGCAAUUGCUAACAACAUCCCAUAUACUCCUAUUUUAGCCUUCAUUAUCCUGGUAAAAACACAAAUAAGUCUUGCAAACGAACAUUAUAAGUAAAUUCAACAUUAAUUAAGAUUAGGUAUCUACUGCACCUAAUAGCAUGGUCAACCAUCUAGUUCCUGUAGCCUUCCAUGUACCUAUGUUAGUUACAUUUUACAUAUUAAGCCACGAAAACGAAGAAUCACAGCCUGGUAAAGAAAGACAUUAAUUAAUAGUUUUUGUUUAAAAAGUUCUCGUUUAGAUCUUUCCUAGUCAAUGAAUCAAUGUAAUUUAAAGAGAACUCUUCUAUUUCAAACAGUGUUAGAAGAUAUUUGCAAAGCCUAAAGAUAAUAUACAAGGACCAAGAUAUACACAGAUUGUUUCUUUAUGGGACUAAAGAGCUUUUUUAGAUGUUAAAACUGUUUCAAACUGUUUUUCUGGUUUGGUUUAACUAAGGAAGAGCUUGUGGAAGAUUAAAAAUGAUGUUUCCUGUUCUCUGUAGGAAGCUUUUAGGAGAUUUUUUGGGCUUUUUUGAAAGGUUGAAUUGUCAAAAAUACCUUCAUGUUAUUGUUUGCUAAAAGAUGUUAUGGACAACUAAACAACCAACAAUAUUUUGUUAAAAGCUCUACUAGUGUAGGAUCUACUUAAAGAAGCUAUACCAAACAGACUCUUAGACUGAAUAACUCGAUCUUAAGUUUGUAAAAUUGGGCUCAGAAUCUCCACUAACAACCCCGCUUCGGUGAGAAAGCCCAAGCCUGUUACUUUGUAUAACCUUAUUCUGUAUGUUUGAUUGCAGGAACUGGCCAAUCAUACCGACGAGGUGAGUGUGCAGCAUGACGUGCUUGACGGGAUGGUUACUUUCUAUGAUACAACUAAAGCUAGCCUCAACAUAUAUCAGGUGCCUGCUUGUUUUUACCUUAUAGAUACUAAUAUUGUUUAGACGUGUAAUCUCUCUCUCCAUUGAACGCUAGACGGCUCGUCUCAAGCCUUCUACGUACUUCAGAGUCCUUCAUUAGCUUUUUAUGUAUAAAGUUUUGAUCUUUUUCCUUCAUUUGCUUGAAGCUCAUUACUGCAGAUUUGUUUUACAGGUUGGUAGUGUAACAUUCGACUUGCUGUUGCUUCUAGUGUUGGGAUCGUAUUUAAUUGUGCUUUUCAGCUUUCUUGUCAUAACAACUUGGGUAUUACUCUUUCUCCAUAUCAAGCUUGAAGUUCUAAAUUUCAGUUUUAUCUUGUAUUUGAUUUUUUAUAAUUUCAUUGCAAACAGAUUAGAAUAGAAACUUCAAAAGUUCCAAGGUUUCCAACAGGGUCUUGAUGAUCUAAUCAGUUUGUUUCGAAGACCCCAUCCCGUAAGGUAAAAAAAGCUUGAUGCGGAAGCACGAUGCUGCACCUGUCCUGUGUAACUUUUUCAGGGAAGAUUUUCUCUGAUAACCGAGGUGGAAGUCUCCCAGGAGAAGUUGGCAAAUGAUAACUACGAAUGUGUUAUGGUUUAGCUCAGUGACACAAAGGACAUUUUUCAACAAUUGAUCCUAGGAAGAUGCCUAUAGCUUGUUGUGCCAAACAUAGAAAAUCAAAGAUGCGAAAAAAUUUUGUUGAGAUUCAUUUUAGUUAAAAUUGUUUUAUUGAGUGUUUAGCAAACGAGAAAAUGGAAGAAAGUUGAGAGAAUAAAACUGAAGCUAAGAGGAUUCUAGAACAUCUUUCAAUUUGUUCCGAAUACUCAAAAUGUGAAUACAUUGUUGUUUAUGUACACAGCUGAAGAUAACAGCUCAAUUGUAUAACUAACUACUACUUAGCAAUUUACUAACUGUAACUAAUCAAACUAAAUCUUCACGUGCACUGGUAAUCACAUAACCACUAGGUGCCAGCUGGACAGCCAAGUCAUCAACCUUUAACCGUGUGCCAUAGCUGCUGCAAUCCUCUGCUUUAUCUUCUGUUUUGCAUACUGUACAGCAAGCAUGAUGAGCUUCCUUAACAAUUUUUUUUGGGGCAGAGAAUAAUGCUUAUGUGAUUUCUGAACUUGGGGAUUAUGGCGGAUAGAGGCACUAAGGCAAGAGAAAUGUCUGAAUUAUCGAAACAAGAUGAAUUAUUUUUUGUUUAUCGCAGCAGACGAUCUAUGAGCGGAAUUUCUUACAACAAAAGAUGUGUGUCCACCGGCUUGUAUUUAGUCUCGUAAUGCAUUAUAUAUAUGCACGCACACACAGUUUGAGAAGAAUCAGACCAUUGAUUUUCUUUUGAGCCAAUCAACAGAAUGUACAUUUCUUCUAAGAUCUUGUAACCGAAACCGCAGUUUUUCAAGUUUGAUGCAUCUGGGAAAAUUGUCAGAUGGAAUAAAACCACCAUGCGCCAAGGUACCAAUGAUGUUUCUUCCAGCUUAUGAGCACUUCAAAUCAACUUAGGUCAUAUUUACACAAGGGCGCACAUGAUAUCAAUCUAAUGGCAAUUAUAUCAUCUAAAAUCCAAAACCAAGAGUCUCCCAUUUUCCCGUUCUCUACUCUGUUCAUAUUAUCAUAACUUCGAAGAUUGCAAGGCAGCCGCAGAUCCAGCGCAAUCUCUCAGAUCUUUGCUCCUUCCUCAUUGCAGUUAGUCAAAAGAUAAACAGAGGUGUCCCAUGUCAACAAGAAGGUAAUCAUAAAAGAACAACAGAAUUGUAAAACAUAUUUUGUUAUAGAUGAAAUGAUAUGAGCAUCCAUGUAUCUAUCCAGCAUUUAGGACACCGCAAUAUAUUCAUAUGAAACGUAAAACGAUUUAAUAUCAAUUUUCUUAAGGAGACUGAGCAGGUUGUCUCGCAAGUGGCGCAUUAGUAUUGUAACGUCUGUGGGGUCUUACAUUAUCCACAAAAAUAACUCGUCCAUCUAGUAAAUUAGAGAAAAAUGAUGCAAUUUCACCUUCCCACUCAUGUCUGCCAAGGCUUUUUGGGCUUCCUCUUCUGUACGGAAAGUCACAUACCCGUAACCUUUUGAUCUGUUCUUACCUUUAUCCAUUAUUAUGGUAGCUGCAAAAAGAAAAGAAUCGGAUAUUAGAAAACAGUGAAGAGGGAACAGGGGUUGAGACUUAAAAUAGAAAUAGACCAAACCCUCAGUGACUUGGCCAAAUUGUGAAAAAGCAUCAGCUAACAUUCCUUUAGUGGUUGAGAAAGAUACGCCUGCAAAGGAUGCCAGUUAAUUUUAUCAUAAUUAGAUGGUAAGAUUGCAAAUUCUGCAGCCAAAGGCAGUACGCAACUGAAUGAAGGAAAUCAAAUAUGAACAUGUUUUCAAUCUCAAAAUAUGAAGAGUAGCAGAAGUAACUUGUGAAACAGUUAUAAGUUCAAGGGAAUUAGAUGAUGGCAUGGUUGAAUUUUAUAAAUAUUUGAUAUUUUGGACCGAACAGGGCAAACAGAUGGAUCCAGAUAAUUAAGAAAAACAUCAAUUCCAUGCAACCAAAUUAGUGUGGACAAUGCAAUUGCCUUUCCCUAUGAGAGUAGAGGGCCUAAAUACAAGCAAAAACCUACUGAUGCAUCUACAGAAGCUCACAUUCACUAGCUGCAUGAUUAAAUCACUGGAUGGUCUCACUAUGCAGUAAAGAAUGAAAUAAUUAACGACCUGAUAAGCUGCAAGGUGAAGAAAAUAUUCACCAGAAAAGUUCAAAAUCAAAUCAACGUGGCUUUGAUUAUGGAAAAAAUGAAACAAUAUGUAGUGAAUGAAUCUUCUCGUAACUAUGCAAGACACAAUCACUUCCCAGGAUCUCAGAUAUAGAUUUACCAAGUUGCACAGAUUGAAGAACGAAUCCAGAAAGAAUCAAUUUAAGACAAGAAUUAAGAGAACUGAAAACAAUAGAAACAAACACAGACAACACAAGAAUCAAUUACGUGGUUCGGUUGCACCAAGGAGGCACAACCUACAUCCACGGGAGAUGCUUUCUGGAGAGCUUUUAUUGAAUAACAAUGGAGGAUCUUUUACGGGGCUUUUACUUAAGAUUACAGAGAACUCAUCUUUCACAUUCUCUGAUAUCUCUCUCUCUCUUAACACGGUUACACACCCGCUCAGCUCACAAACUGAACUACAAGAGCAACGAAUCAGCUAAAUCCAGAUUGCACAGCUUGUUGACACGUUGAGUAACAAACUUAACGAACUGAAUCAAGUUGCCUCGCACGGCUAUCACGUGCAUCACUUAAAGCUUUCCCUUAAACGACAAAGAUGAACUGCCGUUUCAAGCUUAAGAAACAAGUGAUUACACACGUGCUUCAGCCCGUGACUUUUAAGUGCUCUUAUCUUAUAUUGCCAAAACGCUGCCGUUUAGAGCUGAUGAGUUUGAUUCACCAGCAAGCCUCACACAAUAUCAGUUGAGCAACACUAUAAAAUUAUUCAAAGAAAUCUCUAGGUCAGUAUCCAAAUAUGUGGCUCCGUCAGAAGCAGAAAAGUUCAAAACCAAAGUAAGAGGUGAGCAGAAGCGGCCCAGUUUAGUUAUAUGCCAUGCAUGCGAUCAAAAUUGAAUGGUUAAAUUCAGUUGUUUCCAAUAAUUUUAUGUUGUAUCUUUUUUAAGAAUAAAGAAAACUUGCAUUAAAACUAAAAGUAGGGUAAUACCUGAUUUUCUAAAUAGAUUGCAAUGUAAUUUUGAAAAAUAAAACAAUAAUUUACGAAAUGGUUAUAACAUUAUUUUAAUUUUUUUUUCAAAAAGGAAAAACAACAAAAAUAAGAAAUAAAGAAUGAGGGCUACAAACUUUUUAUCUUAAACGGCCGUUAGAUUAUUUGUAAAUGAAAGCAACGGUCAGAUAUUGGUGGCUUAUGGAAACAGGUAAUCAUAAGGACUACGAGUUUUUUUUUUUUUUUUUUGUUCCAUUGAUAUAUAACAAUCGGGAUUCUAUUAAUAUUUACAAUUAGAAUUUUAUCUAACUAUCUUUGAUAAUUCUAAACUAGUACAACCCAAAUUCCUAUUCUCAUAUAAUAUGAAAGAGAGAUAUAUAUUCUUUUCCUCUAUUAACGAAGAGACAUUUUUACUUCUAUCCAAUUUAACUGGAACGAGAAUUAAAUCCUUUCAAUAGUCAGGACUCAGACCUCAUACACGCUAAUUUGAGAGUGUGAGGUGUGACAAUGGGCCAAGAGACCAUUGACAAGUACAAAAGAGUGAUUGCAAUUAAUUCAAACCGCUACACACGCUAAAUUAAGGGUCCAUUUUUGUUUAUUUCAUUGCAAAGUAGUUUGCACAAUUAAUUCAAACCGCUACACACACUAUUGCAUCUUUUGAAAAAGAAAAAUGGAAUAGUUUGAAUUGCCCAUGACAAGAAUGCUUGUGUUGUGAAAAGAAAUCCAAUGGUUUGUAAAUGGGUUGAAUUUUUCGCUUACUUCAAUGACUUGCUUAUGCCCAAUAUAUUACUUUGCACAGUAGUAUUUGGGAUCCUAACAAUCAACUCUUAAUUUGGUCCCAAUAUAUUACUUUAUGAAUGCUUGUGCUGUUUUUUUAAUAUAAAAUAAUUUAUUUAACUAAUCAUAGAAAUAAGAGAGAAAAGGGGGCAUUUGUUGACUCAAAGUCAAUUACAAAUAUUCCAUGCCUAACUUCCACGCACCCUAAAACGGUUUGAUUUGCUUUCAUGCGUUCAUGAAUUUCCAUGAAAGAGAGUGCCUCCCGUCUCUUUACGGACAGUGACUCCAAUUAUGUUAGCGUGACAAAUACAUAACGUUAUUACAUACAAGAAUAAGUUUUUGGAGCCGAGACUUGAGGGAGGUUCUAUCUAAUUCUAAAGAUUGUAACCAAAUCAUUAUCCCCAAUUUUUUUCAGUUAAAUAAAAUAAAAUUUAUGCUUAAAUAUAAAUAAUACUUUGGACAUUCUUGAUAUUUGUCCUUUUAAGAUAAACAGCAACCCAAUUAUCUAUUUGUUUGUCUUUUUUUUUUAGUAACAGUUUGUUAGCAUAAAUAUUUACCUGUGAAGUCGAGGAGGAGAAAAUAUUAGAAAAAUAAAAAGAAAAAAAAAUUAAGGGAGAUAGAAUCAGAUUUUCUUUUUUGAGCAAAGAACAUACGUAAAAAGAUAUUAAAUCUAUUAAGUCUAAUUGUCUAUAACAGUAAAUUGCAUAACGAAUAAUUUAUCAGCGUAAAAUAAAUUUUAUUAUGUUAUGAGUGUUCUGAUUAUUUUCUAGAGUACGAAUUGUCCCAUCGUAAAACAAACGACGAGAAAUAUAACCUUUGCGGUGGUCUUUUACCGUGUCGUUGUAAAAAGGUUAGUAGUUGAGUACUAUUAGUAAUUUAAUGCACCAAUAUUCUUUCUUUGUCUUAUGAAAUUUUUUCGUUAUCCAAGAGUUUUAAUUGAAAUACUUGGCUUCCAGUUAUUUUGUAAAGCUGUUGAAAACUACCACAGUAAUUUUUAUUUGAGGGCCAAUGUUUAGCGAUUUGGGGUCAAUUCAAAGUCAACUAACGUGUAAAACAUGAUUUCCUUUCAUGAACUUCCAAGAAAGAAAGGAGACCAUUCACCUUCUUCGUGACAACAAAUGAUGUUGAUAUGACAAAUACAAACGCUAUUACAGUAUAAGACCGAGACUUGAUAAAUUGUUAAAUUACAUGUCAUUUUCUUGUUGACUAAAUUGGAAGAAAAAAAUUAAAAUAAAAUAAAAUUGUAAUCAGGGUGAUGUGUGGAAUAUAUUGAAAUAAAUAAAUGGAGAAGAGAAAUUCGUUGAUCAAUAUUCAAGAACUCAUCCAAAGUGACCGUUAAAGUCUGGAGGUUCCGUAUGAUUAGCAUUUAUUUUUAAUUUUUUGGCUUAACAUCAUAUGUAGUCAUUGGUCGUGUGAUCUAGGACAGGUUUAGAAAUCUUUUUUUUUAACUUCCGUAUUCUUAUUAUUUAAUUAGUUAUAGGAUUUUUUAGUAUUUGAGUAGUGAUCGCAUGUCUCCUAAUCUAAAAAUAUGUUUCUACGAGUACAAAUAAAAACUAAGAUUUUAACAACCUUUUAUACUAAACCCUAAAAAUACAUGAAUUUAUCAAAAUAAAUAAAUUUGAAUUGGUAUGCCAUAAUAAAAAUUUUACUUGCCAAAACAAAUUAAAAAAAUGUGACGCUUAAAUCAAAUGUUGACAAAAAUAGACAAAAAUCCAACAAGAAUCUCAAAAAUAAGAAAGAUAUCUUCAAACAAAAAUAAAAGCGCUCAAGAGAAAUUUGGCGACGAUCUGCUAAUCCAUAUUAAAAAUGUCACUUUGACUCACACUCUUUUCCUCGAGAACUUCAGAAUGAUAUAUUAUGAGCCUAAGACAAAUAGCUAUUGCUCAAGUUAUGGCCUUAUGAAUACAUCUUACUCAAUGGCCAUCCUAAAUCAAUAGAGCAACUUGGACGUGUCGAACAUGUUUGCAUUCAAAUUUAGGUAAAAAUCUAUUCUUAUUGAAGGUAUAUAUAGGUGCCUGUGAAGUCUCAUACCGGAUAUAAUGUGAAAGCAAAUCAUGAAUUUAAUCAUUCAGCCAAUUAUUAGUGUGUACGUAUGGUAGGGAUGGCAAAAACCCCGACCGUAGGUAUAGUAUUACCCAGAUUUGGCCUAAUCAUUUUUUUUUAACACCUAGACUUUUUCAAUCAGAGCUUAAAAACCUAUAAUAUUAUAUAUAUUUUUAAUUUAUUUUAUAAUUUUAUAUUUUCAAAUUUUAUUUUAAUAAAAUUAGACUUGAAAAUAUGAAUUUUAAAUAUUUAAAACUUUAAAUAUAGAUAAUAAGUGGACCAAAUGAACAAAAUAAUAGAUAUUUUAUAAUAUUCUUCAUAAAAAUCCAAGUUUUGAGCUGGCCCAUAAGCUUGUGUGGUGAAGUCUGGGAACCCGCGUUGCCCAAGGUUCCGUCAGAAUCCAGGCUGUGCAGAUAUUUAUGACAUCCCAUAUGGACGGAGAGGAAAUAUUUUCAGUUGACUGAAUUAAAUAAAAAUAUAUUACAAUCAUAUUAUAUAUUAACAGAAAAAAUAAAAAGAAAUGAAGAAAAACGUAUGCAAGACUUAGAGAAGUCAAUUAAAAGCUGGGAGUAUCAUCAGUUCAAUUGGUUAUAAAUAGCGUAGAGCCAUCCUCUCGUUGUUGCAGAACUGAAGGAAAGAGAGACAUAAAGAGUGUGUGUAGGUGAUUAUAAUUAAGAAGAUAUAAUGUGUGGUUCAAAAAGAGUGUGGGUGAGUGAGUUGAUUUUCAUAUUAUUAGUAGUAAAAGGGUGGUGGAGUGAAGGAUGUUUGGAGCAAGAGAGGUCUGCUCUCCUCCAACUCAAACAUUUCUUCAAUGGUGAUCAACGUCUUCAAAACUGGGUAGACGCAGGAGAUGAUGAGAAUUAUUCAGAUUGUUGUCAGUGGGAAGGGGUUGAGUGUAAUAACACCACUGGCAGAGUGAUUGAAUUACAUCUAGGAUAUACUCGGAAUUGGGAAUCAGCAGAGUGGUAUAUGAAUGCCUCUCUCUUUACUUCCUUUCAACAAUUAGAGUCUCUUGAUCUAAGUUGGAACAAUAUAGCUGGUUGUGUUGAAAAUGAAGGUCCUUAAUUUACUCUAUUUUAGUUCUUCCUCGUAAUUUCUUACAUUUAUCUGAUCCCUUUGGGCUUUUGUUUAAUUUGUACAUGAUACAAUAACAUUUUUUUUAGUUUUUAUUUUUUAUUUUUUGGCAGGUCUAGAGAGGCUAUCAAGGUUGAACAACUUGAAGUUUCUUUAUUUAGACGAUAACCACUUCAACAACAGCAUCUUUUCAUCUCUAGGUGGUCUUUCAUCACUCAGACGCUUAUCAUUGGUUGAUAAUAGAUUGAAUGGAAGUAUUGAUAUUAAAGGUAAGCAAGCUUCAUCCCUUCUCCCGUGUCCCAUCUUUUGUGGAUCUUAUUUCAUUGACCGGCUGGAAGUAUUGAUAUAAGAUCUGGCUAAACUCUUGCUAGUUUAAGCUUCAAGGAUUUAAAUAUUAUAAAAAUAGGUUUAAGAAAUUAUCAAUAUAUGCAAUUUUCAAUGCUUCUCAUAAUCAGACACAAUUCAAUCUAAUUAUUUUGUAUGUCCUGUCUUCAAAAGUAAAGAAUUGUACACUAAAUGGAAAUCGACAUCGUAGCUUUUUAUUUUUUCUAAUGCUCUUUUUUCGUUAACAAGUUUAUAUCCUAAGAGGGAUUGGAUUAAAAAAAAAAAAAAGUUUUGAUGUUCAAGGUAGGCCAUAAUAACCUGCAUGUUAUUUGUCUGCCUGUAUCUAAAUUUGUGCACUGAAUUUAGUAUUUUGGUUAUUGUGAAGGGAUCAGAUAUUGGCUUCCAUAGACCAACUUGUAUUUAGUUAAUUAAUUAAUUAACUACAUUUAGUAUUUAACAAAUUAAAAUUUAGUGUUUAAUCUAUUUUAAUUUUUUUAAGAAAAAAGAAAAAGAUAUAGCAGUAGGUAAAGCUAAAAUAAAUUUUAAUUCCUUACAAAUUUAAAUUCAUGGUUGUCAGCUAAAUAUACUUGCUUAAAGCCACUUAGUCGAGCCCUUUGAGAGCUGCUUUAAAUUUUUCGGAUUAGCCAUAUUCUUUUCUUAUUAAUAAAAAUCUUUUCGUUGAGAUUUAACAUAAAAAAGGAGAAAAUAAGUUAUUUAAUUAACUCUGUUUUAAGUGUUGGAAUAAAUACAGGACUGGAUUCCUUGAGUAACUUGGAGGAGAUGGACAUGAGCGACAAUGCAAUCGAAAAUCUAGUGGUUCCUAAAGGUAUACAAAAUGUUCAAAUAUUAAUAAUUUGGAGGACAAUUUAAUUGAUUUGAUUAGGGAAUGCCCAAUGACACUUACCCAAAAUAAUUUAAUCCGAAAUUGUAUCUCAAAUAGAUUACAGAGGUUUGAGGAAGUUGAAUACCUUUUAUUUGGAAGCAAGGUGUUGCAAUCAAUAAAGAAAUUCGUUGGUAAAUAUUCAAGGACUCAUCCAAAGUGAUCAUUAAAGUCUAGAGGUUUGCUCUCCUCCAAUUCAAACAUUUCUUCAAUGAUGAUCAACGUCUUCAAAACUGGGUAGACGCGGGAGAUGAUGAGAAUUAUUCAGAUUGUUUUCAGUGGGAAGGGGUUGAGUGCAACAACACCACUGGCAGAGUGAUUAAAUUAUAUCUAGGAUAUGCUCGGAAUUGGGAAUCAGCAGAGUGGCAUAUGAAUGCUUCUCUGUUUACUCCCUUUCAACAAUUAGAGUCUCUUCAUCUAAUUGGGAACAAUAUAGCCGAUUGUGUUGAAAAUGAAGGUCCUUAAUUUACUCUAUUUUAAUUCUUCCUCAUAAUUUCUUACAUUAAUCUGAUCCCUUUUGGCUUUUGUUUAAUUUGUAGGUGAUACAAUAAAAUUAUUUUUUAUUUUUUGUCAGGUCUAGAGAGGUUAUCAAAGUUGAACAACUUGAAGUUUCUUCGUUUAGAAUCUAACUACUUCAACAACAACAUCUUCUCAUCUCUAGGCGGUCUUUCAUCACUCAGAAACUUAUCAUUGGCUAGUAAUAAAUUGAAUGGAAGUAUUGAUAUUAAAGGUAAGCAAGCUUCAUCCCUUCUCCCAUGUCCCAUCUUUGUGGAUCUUAUUUCAUCGACCAGCUGGAAGUAUUGAUACGAGAUCUAGCUAGACUCUUGCUAGUUUAGGCUUCAAGGCUUUGAAUAUUAUAAAAAUAGGAUUAAGAAAUCAUCAAUAUAUGCAAUUUUCAAUGCUUCUCAUAAUCAGACAGAAUUCAAUCUAAUUAUUUUGUAUGUCCUGUCUUCAAAGGUAAAGAAUUGUACACUAAAUGGAAAUCGACAUUGUAGCUUUUUAUUUUUUUCUAAUGCUCUUUCUUCGUUAACGAGUUUAUAUCCUACGAGGGAUUGGAUUAAAAAAAAAAAAAGUUUUGAUGUUCAAGGUAAGCCAAAAUAACAUGCAUCUUAUUUAUCUGCCAAUAUCUAAAUUUGUGCAUUGAAUUUAGUAUUUUGUUUAGUGUGAAGAGAUCAUUUAUUGGCUUCCAAAAACCAACUUGUAUUUACUUAAUUAAUUAAUUAAUUAACACCAUUUAGUAUUUAACAAAUUAAAAUUUCGUGUUUAAUUUGUUUAAUUUUUUAUUUUUUGAAACAAGAAUAAGGUAUAGAAGUAGGUAAAGUUGAAAUAAAUUUUUAUUCCUUACAAAUUUAAAUUCGCCAUUGUCAGCCAAAUAUACCUACUUAAAACCACUCAAUCAGGCCCUUGGCAUCUGUUUUUUAGGUUUUUCUAAUUAGCCGUAUACUUUUUUGCUUAUUAAUAAAAUUCUUUUGCACCAAGAUUUAAAAAUAAAGGAGGAGAAAAUAAGUUAUUUAAUUAACCUUGUUUUAAGUGUUGGCAUAAAUACAGGACUGGAUUCCUUGAGCAACUUGGAGGAGCUGGACAUGAGCUUCAAUGCAAUCGACAAUCUAGUUGUUCCUAAAGGUAUACAAAACGUUCAAAUAUUGAUAAUUUGGAGGGCGGUUUAAGAGAUUUGAUUAGGGAAUGCCCAAUGACUUACCCAAAAUAAUUUAAUCCGAAAUUAUAUCCCAAACAGAUUACAAAGGUUUAAGGAAGUUGAAUACCCUUCAUUUAGGGGGAAGGGAAAAUGCAAUGAUAGAUGGAAGACAGGUGUUGCACUCAAUAGGAUCACUGUCGUCCCUCAAAACACUUUACCUUUUGUAUACCAAUUUUAUGGGAACAGUAGUUAAUCAAGGUAAGUAAAUCUUUUAUCUCGAAAAUAAUUGAAUUAAUAUAUAUAGCUAAAAUUUAUUGUUUCUACUUCUUUCUAAAUAGAAUUGCACAAUUUCACCAACUUGGAAGAAUUGAUAUUGCUCGAGUCUUAUCUCCAUGUAAGCCAGCUUCUACAAAGUAUCGCAUCAUUCACUUCGUUAAAGUAUUUGUCAAUGCAACAUAGUGUACUCAAGGGUGCCCUGCAUGGUCAAGGUAAAUUACGGGUAUAUGAAGCGUUUGUGAUAUUAAUUCGAUGAUAAUUCUUUCUUUUCAAGUUAAGUUUUUCUUGUAAAAUAAUUUUUUUCUUUUUAAUUUUAUAUAUUUUCACUGUCCAAUAGUUCUAUCUUCUCUAAUUUGCUGGAUUCUUGAUUAAGGUUAAUGAAAUUUUAGUUCUGUUAUGUUAAGAAUAUUUCGAUCGCUUAAAAGAGUAAAGAAAAAUAAGUAAAUUAACCCAAAAAAAAAAGAAAAGAAUAGGACCGGAUUAUCCUUAUUCCCUUGCAUUAUGUGAUCAAUAUCAAAAUUAUAACCAUUUCUUGUUUAUUGCUUGUAGAUUUUCGUAAAUUCAAGAAUUUGGAACGUCUGGACAUGGGUGGGGCGCAGGUUGACGUCAACACCAAUUUUCUUCAAAUUGUCGGCGAAUCGAUGCCUUCUCUUAAGUUUUUAUCACUGACAUAUUCAAGUCUUAAUAAAAACACCAUUCUUGAUCAAGGUUAAUUAAUGAUUCUCCGUCUCCCUCUCUCGCAUCAUAACUAAAUUUAAUUGAAAAUAUCUAUAAUGUGAGCUAUUUAUAAACUUAAUGAAAGAUGAUAAGGAGCCAUAAUAAUGACAAAAACAACUGUAAAAUUUUACAGUUAUUUUGUUGCCAUUACGUCAGAUUCUACUGUUCAACUAUCAGUGAUCAAACUUAAUUUUUAAUAUGUACUUUAAAGAUUUUAUGCAAUUAUUUAUCUAUGUGUACUGAAGGAUGAAUUAUAUAUUUUUCAGGACUUUGUCAGUUAGUGCAUCUGUACGAGUUAGACAUCGGCCGUAACGAUUUGAGAGGUAGCUUGCCAUGGUGCUUGGCAAACAUGACAUCCCUUCAAGUGUUAGAUGCCUCUUCUAAUCAACUUACUGGAAACAUCUCCCCAGGCCUUUGUGAGUUGGUGCUUCUGAGAGAGUUAUACAUUGAUAACAAUGAUUUAAGAGGUAGCUUGCCUUUGUGCUUGGCAAAUUUGACUUCCCUUCGAGUAUUAGAUGUCUCUUACAAUCAACUUACUGAAAACAUCUCAUCUUCCCUCAUGCAUCUAAUAUCUAUAGAAAAGCUCAUACUUUCAAAUAAUCACUUCUUCCAAAUCCCUAUUUCACUUGAACCACUUUUCAAUCUCUCAAAACUCAAGACUUUCGAUGGUGAAAUAUGCACAGAAACUGAGUCACAUUAUAAUUCUUUGACCCCAAAAUUCCAACUGACUUCUAUCUCACUGUCUGGUUACAUAGAUGGUGGCACAUUUCCUAAAUUCUUGUACCAUCAGCAUGACUUGAAGAAUGCUGAUCUCUCACACCUUAACUUGAGUGGAAAAUUUCCAAAUUGGUUGGUAGAAAACAAUACGAACUUAGAGACGCUUCUUCUUGCCAACAACUCUCUUUUUGGGUCAUUUCGGAUGCCAAUUCAUUCCCACCAGAAAUUGACAAUAGUGGAUGUCUCCAACAAUUUCUUUCAAGGCCAUAUUCCGGUGGAAAUCGGAACAUAUCUGCCAGGUUUAAUGGAUUUAAACUUAUCUAGAAAUGCUUUCAACAGUAGCAUUCCCUCUUCAUUUGCUGAUAUGAAAAUGUUGAAAAGGUUGGACAUAUCCUACAAUCAGUUGACUGGUGAAAUCCCUGAGCGCAUGGCCACGGGUUGCUUCUCUUUGGAAAUUCUUGCAUUGUCAAACAACAGUUUGCAAGGUCAUAUAUUCUCUAAAAAAUUUAACUUGACAAAUUUAAUGAGGUUGCAGUUGGAUGGUAAUAAUUUCACUGGAGAGAUCCCAGAAAGCUUAUCUAAGUGCCGUUUGUUAGGAGGACUAUAUCUGAGUGAUAAUCAUCUCUUUGGUAAGAUUCCAAGAUGGUUGGGUAAUUUUUCAGCUUUAGAAGAUAUUAUAAUGCCCAAUAACAAUCUUGAAGGACCAAUACCAAUCGAGUUUUGUCAGCUUGAUUCUCUGACGAUUUUAGACCUUUCAAACAAUGCUAUUUUCGGAACCUUACCAUCUUGUUUUAGUCCAUCAUUUAUCGAACAAGUUCAUUUGUCAAAAAACAAGAUAGAAGGACGGCUGGAAAGUAUAAUCCAUGACAGCCCUUAUUUGGUGACAUUAGAUCUUAGUUAUAACCGCUUCCACGGAAGUAUUCCAAAUUGGAUUGACAUACUUUUUCAGUUAAGCUACCUUCUUCUAGGUAAUAAUUAUAUUGAAGGAGAAAUACCAGUUGAAUUAUGCCAGUUGAAGGAAGUGCAGUUGAUUGAUCUUUCUCAUAAUAAUCUAUCUGGUCAUAUUCCUCCUUGCUUGGUUAACACUGCACUCAGUGAGGCAGUAGCUCCAACUUCUAGUUCGUGUGGUCGAGCGUCUGGCUAUGCACGUCCAUGUGAGAAAAAUACAAGUGGACCUCCGAUGGGAAAGGAAGAAACUGUACAGUUCACAACAAAGAAGAUGUCCUACUAUUAUCAAGGAAGAAUUUUGACGAGUAUGUCUGGGAUUGAUCUUUCUUGUAACAAACUGAUAGGUGAAAUUCCUACUCAAAUUGGAUAUCUUACUAGGAUUCAUGCACUAAAUCUAUCUCAUAACAAUUUGACGGGCACAAUCCCGACAACAUUUUCAAACCUGAAGCAAAUUGAAAGCUUGGACCUCUCCUACAACCUAUUGCAUGGGAAAAUCCCUCCUCAACUAGUUGCGCUAAAUACAUUGGCAGUCUUCAGAGUAGCAUACAAUAACUUAUCAGGUAAAAUUCCAGAUAGAAUUGCACAAUUUUCAACUUUUGAGGAAGAUAACUAUGAGGGGAAUCCUUUUCUUUGUGGAUUGCCACUGUCUAAAAGUUGCAAUGAUAGUGGAUUAUCAGCAGUGACACCGGAAGCUUACAUUGAAGAUGAAGAAGGUGAUUGUUUCAUUGACACGAGCAGUUUCCUGAUCACUUUUACAGUAUCUUAUGGAAUUGUUAUAAUAGGAAUUAUUGGAGUUUUGUACAUAAACCCCUAUUGGCGACGAAGAUGGUUUUACCUUGUUGAAGUAUGUAUGAUCUCUUGCUACUAUUUUGUAGUAGAUAAUCUUAUUCCUAGAAGAUUCUAUCGUGGAUGGAUGUAAUUUCCUUACAUUACAACUUAUAUGUAAUUUUUAAAGAAUUUUCUUUUGCAUGCAUGGAAUAGCAACUCAAUAAAAGUAUUUGAUGCAAAUUGUCCAAGAACAACUUAGUAAUUUCAUUGCAACUAUUCGGUUGUAUAUAUACAGUUAAUGAAAUUUUUAACCAUUCGCAGAAUACCCUUAGGAAUUUCUUUAGAUGGCGGCCAAAAAGAGAUUCGGGGCUCUACACGGUCUGGAUGAAGAUUAACUUAAUGCCCUCUGGAUUAUGUGUAAGUUCUCUUUUAAAUUUAAGGGUUGAGAUUUCAGGUCCGGAUGAAAGUUGAAUGCAGGUGACGAGACUUCACUGGGACAAACUUAAAAUAAAAAAUUAUAGUCCACAAUAAGUGUAAUACCCUACCCCUGGUUUUUGACCAUGCUGACCACCCAUAUAUAUAUAUAUAUAUAUAUAUAUAGAGAGAGAGAGAGAAGUAAAGAGAGAAGAGACGAGAGAGAGAGUGAAAGGAGUUGACCCGAGUUUGACCCGAAUCCGACCCGGAACCCGCGACUUUGACCCAGCGAUUUCUCCCAUUUCCGGCCACCGUUCCGGGCAAGCUUGGUACCGAUUCGAAGCUUGAGAGACGAGCUACGUGUCCAUGCCAUCCUUGCCGCCGGAAAACGAUCGGAAAGCCACCGAUCGAAGCUUUGAAGUUCCGCGGAAUCACCGGCUCGAUUCGCCGGUUUCCGGUGAAGCCAUCACUUGGGUUUGGUCCUUACCUUGCCCUCUGCCAUUUCCGACUAACCACUGACGCCGGGGACAUCGUUUUAUCGGUGAUCAGCCGUUAGAGGAUUCACGACUUCGGGAGCUCGAUUCGGAGCCAUCGCCGCGCGUGGGAGGUCACCACCGCCAUCAUUGGACUCAGCGUGGCUUGAACUUUCAGUUCUGAGCUUCCCGUCGCCGUCGGAUGAAUUCCGGUGACCGUUGACCGGCAAGGGUAUUUCGGUGAUUUCACAGUCUAAGGGCAAUUUUGUAAUUUCAGAUUUUGUGGGUAUUUUCGUAAUUGCAUUGAUUGAGGAUAAAGUUGGUAAUUUAUGAUUUUGAGGUUAAUUUGGUAAUUUUGAUAUGGGGGUAUUUUGGUAAUAUUGAAUUCAAGGGUAUUUUGGUAAAUUUUGUAAUUUGAGGGUAAAUAUGUAAUUUGUGGAAUCAAUGGAUAAUUGGUAAUUUUAAGUGAGGGCAGUGAGGUAAUUUGAGAUUACGAUGGUAACUCGGUAAUUUAAGUCGUAAAGGAUAUUUUGGUAAUUUUACGUUCCGAGGGUAAUUUCGUAAUUUCUGACAUUGUGGUUAUUUUUGUGAUCUGAAUUGAGGACUAUUUAGUAAUUGAAGAUUAUGAGGAUAAGUUGGUAAAAUAAUGAUGUUGGGGGCAUUUUGGUAAUUUUGGCAUGUAGGGGUAUUUCGGUAAUUUUGUGCAUGCGGGAAUAGUUUAUUGUUAAUAGAUAUUCGUUUCGAGAUUUAUUAUAUAAAAUUGGUUGUAUUUCAAUUUACGGAAAAUGAUUAUGGCGUUUCCUUGAUUAGGAGGAUUCGCGAACGAGAAUCAACCCGCGGACGUUGUUGGCACCAAAUCUGGAUAUUGUCACUCUGAGUGGAAUAUACGAAACUUAUUUUUAGAGUUAAUUAUGAUAGUAAAGCAUGUUUGCGGAAUAAGUAUUUUAAAUGUUCUGAUUUAAUGAUUUCUUGAAAUGGAUUUAAUGUGAUUUCCUCGAAAUGGAUUUAAUGUGAUUUCCUCGAAAUAGAUUUUAUUCAUGUGUUGAUAUUUUAUUAAAGUGUUUGGUCAAUGAUUUUGCGUAUCCAUUUUGAAUAACGCAUGAUAUUAUUUGAAAAAUAAGAAAAGUGGAUUCAAAUGUGGUAUGAUUUAAAAUAUGGUUAAGAGGAUUGUUUUUGAAAUCAUUAGACAGUACCCUUCCCCUCCAGAUACAGUGAUAUAAAUGAUAUGAGAUGAGAGGCCUUUGGGGUUCGUCUGAACACACAUAGAGGCUUUGGGCCGUGUGUUUGAGCGUUUUUGCCUUUAUAUGCAUGCAGUACAGAUAUUGAGUUACAGUGAUACAGAUAUGGGCUACAGACAUAUAUUGAGUACAGUGAUACGGAUAUGGGAUACAGAUCAGUUAUUGAGAUUCAGAGAUACAGUGAUACAGAUAUGAGAUACAGACAGUUGAGAUACAGAUGAGAUACAGGCCUUUGGGGCCCGUCUGAGUACACACAGAGGCUUUGGGCCGUGUGCUUGGGCGCUAUUGUCCUUUGGGGACUAGAUUAUGCAUGCACAGAUAUGAUGAGAUAUGAAAUAGUAUUUCCCUAUUUAUCCGUGUAGCUCUGGGGUGUGACGUUACCCAGAUAGUACGUCAUUGCCCGUCCGUUGAGGUCCGUAUAUGACGAGAUUAUUUCCCUGGGUACUUGUUUGAUGAUAGUUUUGGUAUUUAGUAUUUGAUAUGAUAAGUAUGGGUAAUUUUUAAAAACCUCCCCUGAGGUUUGAGGCUGUUGCAAGUAGAUGGUGAAAAUCAUUUUAUUUGUAAAAGACCCCCUACCGUCAGUUAAAAUUUUUAUUGACUAACUGUUGACUUUAAAAAGACAAUAUUACCGCCAAUAAUAGUUUACGUCAGUUAAAAUUUCCUUAAAAUCUUAAAAAAAUAAAAUUACAAACUUAAAAAAAUUAUAUUUUUAUAUCAAAUAAUUAAGAUUUGUAAUUUUAUUACAAACUUUAAAAAAUUACAUUUUUAUAUCAAAUAAUUAAGAUUUGUAAUUUUAUUACAAACUUAAAAAAAAUUAUUUUAAGAUUUGUAAUUUUAUUUUUUUAAGAUUUUAAGGAAAUAUCAAUAACUUAAUCAUGGUGAAAAUAAUUGUUUUAAUUACUUAUGAAAUUGUAAAUAUUUGGAAUUGUAAAUAUUGGGGGUAAUAUUGUCUUUUCAAAGUCAACAGUUAGUCAAUGGAAAUUUUAACUAACGGUAGGGGGCCUUUUACAAAUAAAAUAAUUUUCACCAUCUACUUGCAACAGCCUCAAACCUCAGGGGAGGUUUUUAAAAAUUAUCCUGAUAAGUAUUAUGUUUCCAUCGAUUUUAUGCAGAUUUAUGUAAUAUAGUAUUUCAGUGACUGAUUUGAAUUAAAUAAGUUUAUAUAAGUUCUUAUGAUAUUCUGAUGAAAUUGAUUUGAGAAAUUGAUUUGAGAAAGAUUAAAUCAUUUUAAAAGAAUUGAUUUUUUAAAAUUACUAUCCACUCACUGAGUUCACUGAGUUUUAUACUCAUUCCGCUUUUAUUAUAUUUUCUUCCCCCCACAGGAGAUUUGCAGGUACAUCAGUCGACCUAGUAUCGAAUGUUAGUUUUGAAAUUGUUGCCACGUGAUGGUGUUAGGAUGUCAUAGAGUUAAUACUGUGAUAUUUAGGAUAUUGCGAAUUGUAUUUAUUUAUUAUAUUUUGUAAUUAAGGAUAACCAUUGUAUUUUUUAAUAUUAGAAUGACUUGGGUGGUACUUGGUAUGUUGACUUGAGAAGUUGGUUAUGGAAGAUGGUUGGAUAUUGAAUUAUUUUAGGAGUAUUGUUUUGUAAUUUGCAGGUUUGAGAAUGUUAUAUUUAUAAGGGAGAUUCUGCCGAAAUUUUUAUAGAAUUCGUACUUAAUAUCGAUUCAAUUUUACGAGUUUAGAUGGACUUGCCCUGGGGGUGCGGGGCGGGUCGUUUCAGUAAGAGCAAUGGGUAGUUUAACUUAUGGAAGAUAACUAGAACUUGGAAUAACUAUCCGAUCUGCACCUCUUUAUUUGUUAUAUGCUAGUGGGGAUUUUAGGUAGCGUUUAUCGCCAGGGGAGUUACAGUAAUCGAUUCAUAUAUCCUCCUUUACUUCCGAGGGUAACCCAGCUCUAUACAAGAACAACAAGAGGGUUCAAUUAAGAACUCUCUCUCUUCCUCACAACAAAUACACCUAACAGACCAAACCGUGCGCAAAAUAAUUCUAUUCCGUUCUAUUCAUGUCAUGAAUCCCACAAGUCAAAAACUAUCGCAACUCAUUUUGUUUAAUCAGCAUAACUAAAUUGUGGGUAUAAAUGAGCAAACUUUUGAAGCCUGUAACUUAUAAUAAACGCAAACCCAAAAAUGACAUUUAAAUCCUCAUCAUCCCUAACAAAAAGAAACAGGAAUAAUUAUAUACCAAUAAUUUUUCCACAACAAAUACUGAUUUGAGUUGAAACACUAUACAAACUGGGUCCUAUACACUUGCAGAAAGCUACACAGUAGAGAAAAUCUAGCAGCUACAUAAUGGUAUCACUUUCAGCUGGUCACGAAUGGUGUGCAUUCAGCAGUGCUCGACAGACCAUGUCUACGAAUUGAUUGUCCUAUUACAUAUAAAAGCUGGUUAGAUAUACAAGGAAAAAAUUAAUAAUUGAAAAUGCAUCACAAAAAUUAAGAGUAUCGCAUUAGUGUUUGCACUCUAAGCAUGGCAAAGUGGUGGGGGGUUCAUUAUUUUGAAGACUGGGAUAAGUGAAAAAUAGUUCAAUCCACUGAUGAGCAUAAAUUUAUUUACAUGUCAAUUUAGAUAUCAUCAAAAAGUAAACAGUAAUUCACAGUCACUUAAAAGAGUGGACAAAAUGCAUACCAUGAAUGCAUUUUUGUACGUAAGAAAUCCAAAGAAUAUUUCUGAUAAUACAAAUAUGCUGGCUUUAAAUCUGCUGUCAAUAAGCAAUUAAGAAGAUUAUACCAGCUGCAUGGUAAAGUUCCCCUACUCUUAAUAACAGUAAACAUGAACAUGUCAGAUGCAAUUCUAGCAUCGACCAUUUGCAUAACCAGAAAUCCUAACCUGAACAAGCACCAGAAGUGCCUCCCGGACUUUCUCCUUGCUGAUAAAUGGUCCACAGUUUGAAGUAAGAGCAGGAGUAAGAGAUGGUGGAGGGAUUGGUGGUGGAAAAGGUUGAAGCACUGGGGCACCACAUGGGCGUUGUAGACUCAAGGGAGUAUUAAGUGGCGGAGCUGUUGGUGUAGAUGAAGAGACAGGCUGCAUCAUCCGCGCAGAGGAGGAUGGAGGAGGAACAAAGAAUAAGGAAGGCUUUACAAGAUUAGGUGUCCAGUUGCCAGAUUCAGAGGUGUCAAUGGGUGGCAUUAAAGGGGUAGGUGCUGAUAGAGGCGGGGAUGGUAUUUGCAAGGUUGGCACGAUAGGAUAAGCAACACUGGCGGGAUGAGAAGGUACAGAAAUAGUUGUAUCAGACUGCUAAGGUUGUGCAGAGAUUGCUGCAUUAGAAGUACUCCCCACAAUCAUAGCUGUCUGUAAUGAUAAGGACAGAUGUCAGAUACAAGGACUUCAUAGAAGUUGAACCUCACACUAAAAAGAAGUGAUAACAUAUGAAAAUAGUAUAUGACUUGCAGCAUUUUUGUGGUAAUGUUGCAUACUUAUGUAGAAACAUAUUAUUUCAA
rnacentral:lncRNA from 1 species